rnacentral:lncRNA from 1 species
UUUUUUUUUUUUUUUGUGUGGUUGGAUGGUAACAUUUGUAACCCUUUUUUUAUUGAUGAAUAGCCUAAAAAAAUGCAAUGAAUUGCUCAAGGGUCAAGUUUCCCUCUUAAAUGGCUAUGAACAUGGACAUAGGAUAGCCAGUCGAAUAUCUUUGGAGGGGAUUUACCAAGUCCUUGAAAAUUAGGAAACAAAGAGUGAAGUUUUUCUAUAGGGGAUUUGAAAUCAAGGACCCUAGUAGGUAUCCUAUUUAUUAAGUAACUGGCUAUCAAAAGGGCUUCAUGUUUUUGGAACAGUCAUUUCAAAAAGUAAAGUACUAGCAACUUCUAUUAAGUGCUUAUUUUUCCUUUCGACAAUCCCAUUUUGUUGGGAUGUGUCAACUUAUGAUGAGUGGUGAACUAUACCCUCAUUUUGAAGAUAAUCAAUCAGCGUUUGGUUGAAAUACUCCUUCCUAUUAUCACCGAUUUUUCGGCGAUUUUUUCGGUGCCCUUAAAGCCAAAAUCCAUUAUCAUUGGAUGUGGACCUCACACCUCGGCCCAACCCUCAUAAAGCUACGAUGUGAUACCAACCAUCAUCUUAUUAAAUAUUAGUCUAGUUUCUUCGUGGUUUCCGAUGUGGGAAAAACAACAUGAGUAUCAGAGUAUGCAUGGGUAGGGGUUGAACUUGGGUUCUUGGGGCUUUGGAUGAAUUGCUCCAACUAGUUGGACAAAUCUAGUUUAAUGUUAGAAUUGCACAUGGAAUAAUAUAUAUAUUAUAAAUUUCUUUUAUAAAUCUUAUAAAUAUAUUUUAUAUAUUAUGUAUUAUAAAUUCAUUAAAAUAAAAUUAUUGAAAAUAAGUUAAUUUUAAUUAUCUUGUUAUGCCUUUUGUAUAAUAAUUAAAUACAAGAAAAAUAUAAAUUUAUAAAUAAAAUUAUUAGUAUUUUAAAAUAAAAAAUACACGUAUCAUCAUUUCUUCUAUAUCAUUGAAUACAUUCAAAUUAAAAGGAUGUGUAUAAAAUAUGGUUUCAUGUUGUGAAAGUUAUUGUUGAAUAUUACAAAUUAUAUCAUACAUAAAUAAACUUCUUCAACAAAACAACCUCAAUACGUCUAUCAUUUCUUAGAACUUUUCCUAAUAUUUUCAUGAAUUUUGAUCAAUUUUUGUCUUAUCGAUAUUAUGUAUCCAAAUUUCCACCAAUAUUUCUCAAUAUAUCUUGAUAUAUCUGUAAAAUCAAAUGACUAAUAUAUCUAUAAAAACCGAUAUUUUCAUCCUUGUUCUAAACUAAAAGUGAGCAUAGGAAUACCAAUCAAUUUCUCCUCUACAUCACAUACAGGUUGAAGGAAACAAAUUUUGAUGGAUCCUUCUAUUCCACUAUGACUUCCACAUUGCUCCUCAUUUUCUUGCAAUUCCCUUUCUAGUAGACUAAAAAAAAAUGGGGUAGACCAUUGGAUGAAAUGACUCCUCACCAGUCAACAUCCAACUGUAUGUGGUAAAAAGAGUAAAUGGUAUCUCAGGGUUUUAGGCUUUUCAAAAAUCAAUUAGGCCAUCUCUUUUUAUGGUGAAGAUGUUCGACUUUUUGAAAAAAAUAACUGGGAGGUUUUAUUUUCUGUUUUAUUUUUUAUUUUUUAAUUUGAUGCAGGAGAAUUAGUUCUUAAAACAUUCCUCCAGGUUUGAUAUAUAUAGGAAGGAAUAAAAGGGUCUAGGUCUCUAAAGAAGAAGACUCUGAAUCAAAAUAGUACACUGCCUAAAGAGAAAAGAAAUACAUGAUCAAUCAAAAGUGCCCCUUGAUUGAUUGAGAUGCCAAGUUCCUUUUGAAUCAAUUUGAGAAAGUGCUUUGAUUGAUCGAAGUGUAAAUAACACUCUUGACCUAUUGGACCACUCUGUAGAUUGACUGAAAGCCAAAAUUUCUUUUCCUUAACCCUGAUUGUUACAAAACAUCUUUUAAUGUACAAGGAUAGUUGUACAUUUGCCAAUGCAAAAACAAGGUUUCUGGACUCUCUCACUCAUCCAAGGGUGCUCAAAGAAGGGUUUGCAUACAGGCCUUGAUGGAUUCUUCCAUUGCAAUCUCUUCAAGCAUAAAGUGGAUGGUUUGUAUGUUUUGUAAAUAAUUAGACUCAAGUUACAAUUCGAUGUGGAGACAAAAGAAUCCUAAAAUUGUCAAUUAUUUUGAAAGAAAUUCACUGGAUCAUAGAGUCUAGGAAUGUUUAAAGGAAAAUUCCUUGUCUAGGGCUUUGUAUUCUCCAUGACUAUAAAGUGUCUAUAACUUAUGUUUAUCAACAGUUUAUUAGGAGACAUAUUCAGUUAAUCAAUGAAAAUAGAGAAAGAAAUAAUAUGAAUGGGUGGAAGGACAUAUUAGAAGCAAGAGCAUAGGUUCCAAUGUUAUUUAAUUACUGCUUAAUGUUCAGUAUUUUUUUGUAACCCCUGAUCUAAAUUCUGAAUUGCCUUAAGCAGUGUUUCAAUUUUUUUUUUUUUCAAAGCUUAUUUAUUGCAGAAGGCAAUGCAUAAUGAAAUCAAACCACAUUCACAUUUCAUUGAUAAAGUCAUUUUUGCCUCUCUGUAAAUUUCCAUAAUUCUUUUGAGUGUUGAAGGUUAAUCUCUGCUUCUGGAUUAAUAUCAUUUUGCCAUUUAACUAUAGAAGUAGUCUAUUUUUGUUCAUCAUGAAUCUUGAAAUAUAUUAGCAGAAGCACUAAUGCUGUGUUUUGGAUCUUAGUAGCAGUACCAGCUUGAAAAUUCUACAUGUCAGCAAGUACUUGCAGAUACCACUCAGAUGUAUGAGAAGAAAAUAGCAGAGUUGAUUAAGCAACUAGGAGAUGAGCGUGCUCGCUAUGAAACUGCUGGAGAACAAUUAGAUGUGAUCAAGAAACUCCUAAGUGAGAGCCAGCAGAAAAUUCAGGUUAGACAUUUAAUCAUCUCAAAGAUAGAUGUUUAUGUUGUCUGUUCUAUCUCCACCACUGAAUCCCAAUUAUUACUUUUCUAUGUUUUGUCUUUUGAGGUAGAUUUUCUUAUCCUUUGUGGGAAAUUUUUUUAAGAUUUUGCUUCUUUGUUAGAAGCAAAACCUAUCAAAUGUAGUGUUUCUAAGGUCCUACUUUGCUUCAUCAUUCUGUAUGUCAUGGAUCUUGAACCAUGCUUUGAGUAGUAGAUUAGUUUUUCCUGCCACAAGUUUUAACUAAAACUAUUGCAAUCCUUAAUGCUAUUAUAUUAUUCUUGGUAGCAACAAAAAACAGAAAAUUCUACGUAUCAGAAGGCACUUGCAGACACUACUCAAAUGUAUGAGAAGAAAAUAGCAGAGCUAACUAAGCAACUAGAGGAUGAGCAUGCCCGUUUUGAAGGUGCAGAAAAACAAUUGGAUGAAGCAAAGAACCUCCUAAGUUGUCAUCAAAAGCCAAUGCAGGUAUGCCUAAAAUUUAAGUGGAAUGUAGUAUGCCUUGCAUGGUUACCUCUCCCACUACUACUGCUCCUGCUACUGCUACUAAAUUGUAUUUUAUAUAGAUUUGUUUCAUACGUGGGGGUUUGGAAGAGAUGGUGGAGCCUCUCCUUCUUUGUAGGUUGUGGUUUCCUUAUGCUGUCUUUUAUUUAUUGUUGAUUUGGGGUUUGUUAGAUGUUUACUUUAUUGUUUUUGUCUAUCCAGUUGAGGUUUUUGGUUUGUGGGACAUUGGGAGUAUCCCAUUGAAACUGAAUGAGUACAUUGUGUCAUUUGUAGAGCUGAGGAGAGAUGAUGGAUCAUCUCCUUAUUCAUUGUAGAUUUGCAGUUUCUACAUGGUGUCUUUUGUUUAUUCUUGUUUUGAGUUUCUCAGUUGUUUCCAGCCUCCUUUUGGGGUCUUCUUAGUUAGGGAUGUGAAACCUUUGGGCUUAGGGAUUAAAGUUAAUAUGGUACCUAGUUUCUUUAGGAGUUGCUUGGAGUACUUAAAAUAAAAGGAAAAUGAGAUUCUUUAAGGGUGUGGAGACAGAUAAAUGUCUAGUUGCUAUUAAACUGAGCUCCACUCUUUGGUUGGGUCCUUUUAUUGAAUAAUGUUAGAAAGAUUGGCCAAUCCAUGAAGCAAACUGAUUAUGGGAAUCAUAGGGAUGUCCUUGUGUUUUGUAAGGAUGUAUGGACAUAUAUUUCUGUUGUUGCUAGUAAAAGAAUGAGCUCUGCUCUCUGAUUGGGCCCUUCUUAUAAUGGAUGAUUUCAUAGAGAUUAGUAGAAGCAGCAUGCACUAGAUUGGGAGGGAAUAGUUUUCAAUCUGGAUGUCCUUGUAUGCUGGUCUCUGUUUUUUGAUUUUGUCCUCAAGCCCUUUUUCCUUCUUUGGGAGGAAAGGAUGCCUCGCUCCCUUCUUCUCCCUUGCCUUUUUUCUUAAUAAAUUAUUAUCUAUCACCAGCAAGAAAAAUGUUGAAAAACAAUGGAGUGAUUAAAUUCUGACUAGACGUCCUAAAUUAAGAUGGUGGGCUUGCUAGUAAUGUACAAACAUAAUAAUGUUGUUGGAAUGCCAAAGAAUUAUCAGAAGAAUGCAUUUCUCACUUUUGACCUAGUACUUUUCUUGUUCUAAUUAUUAAGGCUAUUGAAAGUAGGCUAUGCAUUUUGGCAUUGUAUUUGCUCUUAACCUCUUGGUCAUAAUUCUUAUCAUAGUGCAUCCAAAUAUUAUUACUUUAUUAGGAGACAGAUAGAUGUAUACACAGAAGUAUUUACCAUCCUUUAGUGAAGUAGUUAAUGACUUGUGGAACAGGGGCGCUCGUCAUAUGAGAUACACCAAGCACAUGAAUGGCAGGAAACUUAAGUUUAUUUGAGGUAGCCCUAUUGGCACCUAUUAUCCAUUCCAAACACUGGAACCCUUGCCAAUGUUACAUGGGAUUACCAUUCUAGUUUCCCUUGAGCUGGAAAUAUCACUCAAAGUGCCUGGAUUUUCUUGUAUGGUUUUAUUGCUGCUGAUUCUUUCUUUUUCUUGUACAGUUUCCCUUUAUUCUUUCAUUCUUUCUUUGGCCAUAUUUUUAUAAUUACCAUAAUAAUAAGAAUAAAUUAUCGGACUCUGGAGCAGGAUGAGAUUGAUGAACUUAAGAUGAGGUUGCAUGAAAUGGGUCGGCAUCAGGAGCUUAGUGUUAAUGAGCUUCAAUCCUUGCAAUCUGAGUAUAAUGAUCUACUGUCUGAGAAGGUAUGCUUGAUAUAAUAAAUUACAUGAGCAUGCUUAAAAUUUUCCUUAUUGGAUGUAUAAAUUUUUAUUCAUAGCAUUCUUAUGUAACAACUCCCUUCUAAUGGAUGGGCUUUCUUCUUAGGUUGAAAACUGUAAUUACUAAUGAUAUUAUGUAUCUAUUAAAAAUUUGGAAAUUUUCAGGCAACGUUAACUGAGGAACUCCAUGCUGUUAAUCAAACACUUUCAGUUGAAGAAAAGCAAAGGAAGACUAUUGAAAAUGAGUUGGUCAAACUUAAGAAGCUUGUGCUGGAAAAUGACCAUGACUUUGAAGUAAGUUUCAUUGUACAAUUCAAUAUAGCAUAUAUUAUAUAUGCUUUGAUAUCUUACCAUUAUUUUGGACAGGACAAGAAAUCAUAUGUGAAGGAAAGCAUAGGUAAAGAAUCAUCAGCUUUUGGGGCCCCAGUGGGUUUACAUAAGUCAAAUCCAUCAAGGGAAACAAUAUCCGGCCAAAGGGCCACUAUUGCAAAGAUAUGUGAAGAAGGCAAGAUUUUCUUAGUACUAAAGCACUAUAAACUUUGACAGUUUUCUUAGUUGCUGAUUUUGCAUCUUGGGAUAUCUUGAUUUACAAAUUGUUUGGCUUUAUACAUCCAGUUGGCCUUCAAAAGAUAUUAGCAUUGUUAACAUCUGAAGAUUUAGAUGUCCAAAUCCAUGCUGUAAAGGUGGUAGCCAAUCUUGCUGCUGAAGGUACAAAAGACAUUUUAGAUAAUGUACGCACACAAGCAUGCACAGAUAGAUUGAUGCCUCUCUAAAACAUUCUUCUAGUGGGUUCUCAUGCUUUUAAUUUGUCUAAGGCAUUUACAAUCAUUUUCCUGCUUCCUUUGAAUUUCAAGUUUCAGUUUUGUGAGGGUGGACCUUUUCCCUGUUAAUCAUCCUUUUAUUGGGCAGUUUUAGAAGACUGGCAUACUAAUGCAAUAUUUCUAAUUGGAGAAGGCCUCAGAUACAUGUUUAGUAAUUUGUUUUGCUCUUCAGUCCAUAACAUAUAAUCUAUUAAUCUGUUUGAAUUGUGUAGUAUAAGAAACAAAAAUAGAAAAAAACUUGAUGGGCAUUAAAAUAAGAUAGAAGUAUUUAUAGUUACAGAUUAUGGACAUUUUUAAUCAAAUCAUAUUUGAAUUCUUGCUCCAGAUAUUUUUGAGCAUUUUUAAUGAAAUCAUAUUUGAAUUCUUACUCCAGAUAUUUUUGUCAGGGUUUAAGAAGGGUAAAUUUGUUUCAUGCUGUUUAGAUUUAAGUUUGAUCUGGUCAAAUGUGAAUUAAAUUUUCAAAUUUUGUUCAAGUAUUUGUUCUAGUCCUCCAUUAAAAGAAAAUGAAAAAUAAAUAAAUUUCUUUUAUGUUUUAAAAAUAAAUUGUUCAAACAUUCGACCAUUCAUAUUGAAAUAUCAAAAGUCACUAAAACACUUAAAGAAAUUUCGUUGAAGUUACCCAUGUUGAAUUACCAAUGUUCCUAAGAGCUUAAGCUGUUAGGAUUUAGGGCCACAAUGUAUAUCAUGCUUUAUAAAUCCACACAUGCACACACAUAUAUAGAUUGCCUCAAAAAUAGCUUUUUGUUUUAAGAAAAUAUCUUUCUCCAUCUAAAUUGAAGAUUAUCCAUGAACCUGUACUACUCAGUUCAGUAAAUAGCAUAAAUAGUAUUUUAGGUGUGCAAAGCUUUUUAUUUUAUUUUAUUUUUCGUCCAAUUUCAGAUAUUAAUCAGGAAAAGAUUGUGGAGGAAGGGGGUUUAGAUGCUCUUUUGUUGCUGUUGCGAUCAUCAAAAAGUACAACUAUUCUUAGAGUCGCUUCUGGGGCAAUUGCUAAUUUGGCAAUGAAUGGUACUCCUGAAUCUUCAUUUUUUCCUGGUUUAUUGCACUUCAUGAAUCUUGCUUAUGAAUGUGUAAUCAAUGAAUAUUGCCAUCCUUCUUUUUCUAGGUGUUUUUUUUUCUCCUUCCUUUUGAUCAUUUAGAAAUGGCAAUGCAAAAAUGAAAUUGCAUACCUAAAUAACAAAACUUAGUAUAAUGUUUGCUAACCUAUUUUUUGCCAUGACUUUUUAGGUCCAUGGCUGAAAAUUUUCAGGCACAGAAAAUACAUUUUGAAUAUGUGUAUUUUAUGAAGCAAACUAUAUUGGUGUUUUAUCUUAAGUAUUUCUCUGAACAAAAUAUGUUUAGUUUUAGUCUUCCUCUAGAGUUGAGUAUCUAAUAAACUUCUUUUUGCUGAACUUCUAGAGAUCCAGUACUUCUUGACUUCCACGGUGAGGAAAGGUUUGCUUAAAUAACAAAAGGCCAGAUUUUUUUACUUGUAUACUUGGAAUCUUGUGUGUAUAUAUAUAUCAAAGAACGAAAGAAAUCUUGCAAUUUGAUUUUAAUUUUUAGAAUCAAAUAGAAUCUUGCAAUUUGGAAAUUAUAACAGGCUUCUAACCAUAUAAGACACUGGACUAAGGCAAGAAAAUUGUAGAAUUUCAAGACUAGAUGGAGGUAGCAACAGUAUUUGAAUUUUGAGUGGAAUUCCAGGAAUUGUCUAGGGAGAAAACCUUGAUAGGAAAAAGAUGCACAAUGGGGAGGGCGUGUUACUUUUCACAAGUUAUGCGUUCAAUAUUUCAAGAAAAAUCAUGUCCCAGAUUAUGUGUAUUUUCUAAUAAUGAGCCAUCCAAUUGUUGAUACCUCCUCUACUUCUUGCUGUGUCUGUUUACGAUAUUGUAAAUUGGUUAUCUGCAAGUGAAAUAUGAAUAGUGAUGCUUAAAAGUUGUUUAAGGAUCAUUUUAUUAUUAUUUUUUUGUUUGGUGGUUGCUAUAAAGGCUCCUAACCCUGAUGAAAGUAGCUGAGAAACUUUACCAACAGGUGAACUGGUACCCUUUUUUUUUUUUGGCUUGCAUAAGAAUCUGUGAUGAGUGGUCUCCUUUUCGAAAUGGUGCUUUACCACCAACUGCUCUCUCCCAUCACAGUGUAGUGAACUCUUCUAAUCAGAUUUAUCAGACAAAUGAAUAUUUAUGUGUCCAUUUCCCAAGUUAGACAUGAUUGUAUUAAUGUUUCUCCCUAUCAUGAUGCUUUAAAUUUAUUCUUGGGGCAAAUAUGUAUAAAAAAGUAGAGUAAAUUUUGACCCAAAAACUUACUAUGAUGGUACAAUUGUCAUCAGACCAAGCUUGCUACUAAUCUAAAAUGCUCUCUUCUUCACUUGCAAAAAUGGAGGUGCAAACUGAUAACAUCUAAGAAACUCUUAAUACCAUUUCAGAAACUUACUGUAUCAUCUUCUAUCUUCUCAGAGUUGAAUCAAGGGUUAAUAAUCAGCAAAGGAGGUGGUCAGCUACUAGCAAACAUGGCUUCCAAAACAGAUGAUCCACAAACUCUUAGAAUGGUAGCUGGUGCAAUUGCUAAUUUAUGUGGAAAUGGUAAGCUAAAAGUAUUUUAACAGUUACUUUUUCAGCCAUAUUCACAGCUCACAUAAUCAUUGUCUGCACGGAUUGCAUAUCUACAAAUGAUAUUAAAUUUUAUAUUUAUCUUAUCUCACCUUAAAUGACAACGCCGUCAAACCAAUGAAGUACAGUGUUACCGGUGCUUCAUGAGCACUAGAGAAACUGCUUUGAAUGGGAGAGAUUCUUCUAUAUUAAAGCAAGUUCUUUUUUCAUUUUAACAGAGAAGUUGCACAUGAUGCUGAAGGAAGAGGGAGGCAUCAAGGCACUUCUGGGAAUGGUUAGAUCUGGAAAUAGUGAUGUUAUUGCACAGGUUGCUAGGGGAGUGGCUAACUUUGCAAAAUGUGAAUCUCGUGGAAUCAUUCAAGGUCUGUGGUUGUUAUCUUUCAUAGACUAGGUGACUAUCAUUCAUCUUUGCUAAUCAUGAAUGUGAAUAAUUUUACUUAAUGCAGGACAUAGAAAAGGUCGAUCACUUCUUGUUGAAGAUGGUGCACUUACAUGGUUGAUUUCCAAUUGUAAUACUGCUUCAGCUUCAACUCGACGUCAUAUGGAGCUUGCUCUUUGCCACUUGGCACAAAAUGGUAACUUCACAGUUUAGAAAGGACCUGGGAUUCAUUCAACAUUGCGUAAUUUGGAAAUUGAAAAUCAAUCAGUAAAGAAGUUGGACUACCUGUUCCAAAAGGAUAAAUAACCUCUGCAUCUCAAAAUUUGUAGAUAUAAUCUCAAAUGGACAUAAAUGCUCCUUUGUUCCUUCUUCGUUGUGAGAUAGACAUAAAAACGAUUGAUGGAGGACCUUUUGUUAAAAAAGAUCAUUUUCCAUGUUUCCAAAAUGUGGAGGUUAUUUUUCCCAAUUGGUGAUUAUCUUAUCCAUUUGCAUCAAAUAACCCAAAAAAUUUUGGGUUCAUGCACUGUGAAUCUUUUUCUUUUUUAUAAAUCAUAUAGAACAUGCUAUUUUCAGUCACAUUGUGGAUUCCAAACAUGGUGCAGUUUCUUCUGGUCGGAGUCCAUACUUUGCAUUUGGUGUAUUUCAAACCCAUCAUCAAUUCUUCUUUGACAAACACUGCACACAAAUACAAUGCAUUAAAACAAUUCCUUGAGAAAACAUUCAAUCUACUGCUGCCAAUUCUAUUUUGAUUUCCCUUAAACUUCCCUCCAGCAUUUUCCCUAUGAUCUGAAAGAUAGGGGUUUCCUGGAGACCACUUCCAGAUCCUCGAAAGUAAAAUCCUGAUAGCACAACAAGUUCUUCAUUGCUAACACUAUGUUUUCCUGGUUGUUGCAGAGAACAAUGCCCAGGAUUUCAAAUCCAGUGGAGGUGUGAGGGAACUUAAACGAAUAGCAGCUGAGUCCACCAGAGAAGAUAUUCAAAACUUAGCAAAGAAGACACUGAAAUCGACUCCAUUUCAAGCUGAGAUUCAUGCAGAAUUAUAGUAAGACGUAUAGAACCACAGCACAGCAAAUCUUUUUAUACGAGUUAUCUCACUCUUAUUAAGGGAAGCUGGAUUUUUUGGAUUGGCACUAAUACAUUUGCAUGAAUGCCUUGUGGUUGGAUUGAUUUAUGCAUGUACAUAGAAUACUGCAAGAGUAAAAUUUAAUUAUUACAGGAAUUCCUAAAUUGAAGCUCAGAUCCAAUGCCAUACUGUUAGAAUAUAUAUGUAUAAAUUUGUCACUGUAAAUGGGAUGUAGUCCUCUGGAGACUGUUGGUCAUGCUCUUCCAUGUUGGCCUUCUUUUGGAAUAGUUUACAUACUCUCCUUUUGUCUCAGUAUCUGAGGACCUCAUUACUCAUCAGAUAACAGUGUCCAUUCUCAUAUGGUAAAUGUUCACAUCAACAUUGGUCCAAUAGAGAAUGAGAAUGGGGAUGGGAAUAGGAAAAGAGAAUGGAAAUGGAAAAUCGAUUCCAUUCAUUCAUAAUGUAUUUGGAUUAUAUCUUUUUGUCAUAAGAAGAAAAAGACUCGUGUUUGUAUAAAUAUUAUUAUGCGACUCAACAAAUAUGAACUUGUAAGAGAUGUUUUCAAAAUUGUUUUCGAAAAAAUGGAAAAAUAAAUUAAAAACUUUUUAAAAAUAAAAACAUUAUUUUAACAUCAAGGCUUUUGGAACUUCUUCGUAUGGAUUUGUUUGGGCCUUCUAAGGCUUUCAAUAUUUUUGAAAUUUUUGAUUCUUGCUUUUUUAAAAUUUUGUAACAUGGUCCAAAUUGAAAGAGCUUUACUAUGACACCUCCUCACCGUUGUGCUGUCAUCCGCGGGAACGUCUUCUGCGGUUUCCAUAGGACGUUAAAACUGCGAAAGUGUUGCUUAUACAUUUUUGACAAAAGUCUUAACUCUGACCAUUUCAUCAACACUCUCAGCUUUCACUCUCAAAUCUCUAAAUCUAAGCCCAUAAACCCUACUACCCCAUUCAAUUUCCCAUCCAGAUUUCAUAUUACAUUUCAUGUAGUGGAGCUGUUUCUCAAUUCGGAUUAACAAGAAUAAUAAAAAUGUCAUCCAUACAUCAAAGGCAGCAAUUGCAGCAGCAGCAUCAGCAGCAUCUUCUCUCGGACUCCUACCCAAUUUCGGCCCGCAGCUCGCCAAAUUGGGGAAGAUCUAUCUCCGUUUUCGGCCGAACAGGGCUCUUGGUGCUCUUGACGUUGGUGGUAGUAUUGGGUGUUGUGCUGCCAGGAAUGAGAGCGCCUGAUGGCCUGUUUGGUGGAUCCAAAGUUUCGGUUUCCAAAUGGCGAGAGUACACAUUGGAAGAGGCUGUCCCCUUUGCGGCCAAGAACGGGACUUUGAUCGUUUGUGCAGUGAGUCAGCCUUAUUUGCCGUUUCUCAAUAAUUGGUUGAUUAGCAUUUCCAGGCAAAAGCAUCAGGACAAGGUGCUGGUGAUUGCUGAGGACUAUGCCACGCUUUAUGCUGUGAAUGACAGGUGGCCUGGCCAUGCUGUUCUUGUUCCGCCUGCCCCAGAUGCUCAAGUUGCCCAUAAGUUCGGUUCUCAGGUAUAUAGCAUUUGGCUUUGAUUACCGACUUUUCUCACGCCCCAAACAAAUGCCCAAUUCAGGUGAAAGAUCAGCCAAUCUAUUAGCCUCCAUGUAAGCAAGAUCACAGUGAAAACCCUCAAACCAUAGAGGUUAAGCCUUGUGAUUGUGAUGCUUUCCUUCUUUGUUGCAAUCUAUUUCGGUGGUUUAAGGAUCUUGGUGGUGAAGUUAGGAACUAACAGAGAAAUUUUUCCUGACUACCAUUCAAUUUUGUGGUCAUUGAAGAUCGGUACCAAGACCUCACAGGCAGUAGGAGGGUUGUUUCCCUCUUUUUAGUGAUAUGGAUUUCUGGCGUCACUUCCAUUACUGGUCAUGUGUUUUGGUUCAAAGUUUUGCAUGCUCUAUGUGUGGAGGCCCUUAUACAUGAUACCUGGGUUAGGCUUUUUUAUAUUUUAUUAGUUUGAGUUAGUAGCAAAAUCAGUACCAGAAAACCAACCUAGAAAGUAGAAGGGUUACUUCCCUUUGUAUAGUAGCAUAUAUAUUUCUGGUAUUUGUAUAUAUGAUAGGUGGGUUGGCUUCUAUUCUUCGUUGGUUAUUGGUAUUUGUACCAAUCCAAAUGAUCAUGAAUUUGAGGAAAUUCCCAUUGGAUGCAUGCUACUUCGUUGGGUGAGUUAGCCAGGAUGCUGCCAAGAUGUCCAUGGGUUUGGUUUCUAACUCACUUUAUAAUCUUUAACACCAGCUUUUGAAUUCAACACUUCCCCCUUUUUUUUCUUUUUUCUUUUUUCUUUUUUAUUUCAUUUUUUCCAUUUGAGGUGACAUCUGUCCUUCCCUACAACUCGUGAAUUGAGAAUUAUCACAAUAACAACCUUCAUUAAAGAACCCAUCUUUUCAUUUCAUGUGCUGUGCAUGUUUUUUUCUCAGCCUCUACAUAAAUGAGGGAACUAGAGAUGUAUAUUUUGAGCUAUAUUUUUAUCUGUCUGUACAUAAAUGAGGGAACUAGAGGUGUGUAUUUUGAGCUCAAUUCUGGUUUAAAAAAUGGCAUUCUCAAUGUUUGUAGGGUAUAUUUGCUCCUGUAAUUUUUUUUUUUCUAUCUGAAGUUCCAUGGUAGAAUGGAUUUAUGCUAUACACUGUCUUUCUCAUUUUCAUUUCUUGCUGAUAUUGAUCAAUCAUCAAUGUGGGAUUAGUUUUUGAAGUUUGAUUGCUUGAUUUCAUUAUACAGGGUUUCUUUAAUUUUACUUCUCGAAGGCCUCGCCACCUACUGUACAUUUUGGAGCUUGGAUACAAUGUUAUGUAUAAUGAUGUUGACAUGGUAUGGUUGGCUGAUCCAUUUCCUUAUUUGCAAGGAGAUCAUGAUGUGUACUUCACUGAUGACAUGACUGCAGUACGUACACCAACUUUGCUUUUAACUUUUCGUGUGGUCUCUUUUAUGUUGUAAAUUUAUGCCACCUAUGGAGAAUGGAACAGACAGUCAUUCAUGUGUGCUGCCAUUUAUUAUCCAAUAUCAACUCUAAAAUCCAAUUUAGCAUAUACUGGAAAUGUCUACUUUUCUUUUCCAUUAUUAGAGGAAUUUUAUGCCUGUGCUAUCAUUGGCAGGGCCAAUGUUUUUGAUGUUAAGAGGACAAAUAUCAAUCUGCUAGGAUACUAGUUGAGUUCAAUGUGAUACAAAGUCAACUUCCUCUAUUGAAAACAUCAGAACACUACAUCAUGAAAAUACCAAGUCUGAACCCAUCCUACUUGAGUACCACAUUGAACUCCCAAACUCUUGCUUUUGAGGUCCUCCAGGCAUCCCUCAUAGAUCAAUUGAGAGACAACUCAUUAGUAUUCAAAAUGACCCUUGAAAACCAAGAACUGUCCAUACAAGUGGAAUUUAGAUACUGUAUCAUGAAUUUGAGUACAGUCGGCAUAACUGGAGAAGAUUUUUCAAUAAUUGUGCUACAAUUUGUAGCUUCCAUAUGUACCCUGACUAAAUUUCCUGUAGGUCUUGCUAGCGAUCAGAUUAAGACAAUUUUACAUGCCCCUGAUAUCUUGCUCUAACAACUGUGCAAUGUAUCCUAUAUCUUGAAGGUGCAUAUUCUUAUCAUCCAUAAAGUGUGCAAUUUUGGUUGCUUUAUCCAUUUCUUUUGUUCUUUUUGGGUGGCCAGGUGAAACCUUUGAACCACUCUCAUGAUUUGCCACCUCCAGGGAAAAAGGGCCGCACCUAUAUAUGCAGCUGCAUGAUUUUCAUGCGCCCCACUGAUGGAGCAAAACUGGUUAUGAAAGACUGGAUUGAGGAACUUCAAGCUCAGCCAUGGUCCAAUGCGAAGAAAUCAAAUGAUCAGCCUGCCUUUAACUGGGCACUAAACAGAACUGCAGCACAGGUAUGUUCUGUGCACCUUCCUGUUACUGCCUUUCUUGCAUUUUUAUGAACCAUUAAAUCAUUAUAUAUUGGAAGUUCAUGCAUUUUUAUGCAAUUGUUGAAGUUAAAAUGUUGAAAAGGCAUGGGAGGGUUUGAUUUUAUUAAAGUGGUGUAUUAAAAGGUGACUUCAAGGCUUGGAACUCAAGGCUCGCCUUCCUAAGAAUGGAGGAUCAGAGAAAUGCCUUGGGGCUCAACGCCUACUCUUGCACCUCAAAUAUGUUUGUCUCAUACAUUAGCCUGUUGUGUAUAUGCCCGCAUGCCUGAUGCAUUAACCAGAAAAUAGGUUCUACUCAACAAGGAUUAAAAGAAUAAUUAUUCUUUAACACUUAUCAUUUACGUGUGUAAUGUAUUUAUCUGUUUAUAUAUUUUGAAAGCUCCAUUUUACAUUAAAUAUUUCCUCUUGCUUUUAAAGUUGGUCUUUCAUGAUUCCUUUGCAUAUUGUCCCCCCCCCCCCCCUGAUUUUUCUGUUGAUGGUUGAAUUGCUUGUAUACUACAGAGCUGUUUUAAAUGAUUGUUUAAUUUUUCAUAAUUAAUUUAUUAUUUUGUUUAAAUAAUGAGGGAUUAUGAGACUUAACCUCGCCUUAUAGCAUAUGCCUCCCUCCCUUGGACUUUCAAUUGAUGGUUGUUUGCAUUUACACUAUAUGAAUCUCCAAAAUUAUUGUUGGCCUUAAUCAAUUAAUUAAUCAUCUUAAAUAAUGAGGAAUUAUGAGGCACAACCUCAUCCCUAGAGGAAGUCUUUGAUUAGGAGGCUGAAAUACUAGUUUGAUAGAUAUACCUCUGUUGAAUAGGGCCCAAUUUAGCUUGAAUAAACCAGUACUCAUGUUUAUUUGUAUGGUUUCAGUUAAUAGAACAGGAUUGUGAUGCUUAGUUUGUGUAUGCUAUGCAGUGGAAACUUCAUUGUUGUUCUUUGGUACUGUUAGCCAAGUAGCGUGUUAAGACAUGUUUUCCUUUUUUCAUGCCAAGCACAACUGGAAUAGAAGAGUGGUGACUCAAGGAUACAUGUACUCAAUUUUUUUCCUUCUAUCAUCUUUUAUUAUCUUUGUAGUUUGUCUUCUCAAGGUAUCACCCUCAAAUCCCUUAAGCUGUUCACUUUUGCCACAGACUGGGAAUCUCUAUCAUCUGUCCUCCAAAAUAUUAGAUUUUUAGAAAUUUAUCAUUCCACUUCACUUUCCAAAUGUCAAUUCUUUAGUAAAGUUUCAAUAUUUUGCUCUUUACUCUCUCUGUAUGAUGCACAUGAGUUGGUAUUUCUAGAGGAUGUGUUCUAUACAAUUAAUGUACCAAGACUACUCUGCCUCUGUAAGGCUUUGUUCAUAUAUUAUUUGUUACAUACAUUGAACACAAGAUCAAAUAUAUGCUGCAUGGAGAAGAAUUACCUGAUUUAUGACUGGAGUUACUAAUAUAUAAAAUUUCAAAUUGGAAUUGAUUGGUUUCUUCCACCGAUUUAGCAUCUAAUGAUAACGUUGAUCACUUUGCUACAGGUGGAUCUCUACCUGCUUCCCCAGGUAGCAUUUCCUACAGGAGGAUUAUACUUCAAGAACCAGACAUGGGUGCAAGAAACAAAGGGAUUGCAUGUUAUCAUCCAUAACAAUUAUAUCACAGGUUUUGAGAAGAAGAUAAAGCGCUUUCGUGACUUUGGGCUCUGGUUGGUAGAUGAUUAUGCACUGGAGUCCCCGCUUGGAAGGAUAUAACUAGCUGAAGGAUCUUAAGGAUACCCGUCUACAGCACAGUCAUGCUUGAACCUAGCAUGAAAUGCAACCUGUGAUUAGCUCUGUCAUUUGUGAUAACACUAAUGCCAUAAAUAUUUCAAAAAAUCCGGUACAACACUCUAGGACUAAGCAUAUAGAGAUAAGACAUCAUUUUCUUAGAGACCAUGCACAAAAGGGUGACAUUACACUUGAAUUUGUAAGCACAAAAGAUCUACUUGCCGAUAUUUUUACAAAACCCUUAAGUGAAGAGCAAUUUGUUGAUAUUAGAAGACAACUAUGGGUGAUUUCUUUAUGAUCAAAUGAUUGCUUGAUGAAUUCUUGUUGAUAUUACUCUUGAAUAUACCCUAUGAUUGCGUGAAAUUCAUAUCAUAUGCAUCAUAUAGAAAUAAUCUUAGGAAAAAGGUCAAAUUUUGACCAAAAAUCAAAAUUCCCGUGGCAUUGGACAUAAAAAAUUGGGGAUUUCAAUUGAAAAGGGUAGGGGGAGGAUCACGAGACAAGAAAAUGCAACAAAAUUUGGAAAAGUGACCGUUGGGCCUCAACCGGACCUCAAUCGGACCUCAACCGGUUGAGGUUCAACCUUGACCAAGAAGAGAAGGCCAUUGGGAGAAAGAGAAACUUUUUGGCCUCCCUCAACCGGUACUCGACCAAACGAGCACAACCGGUCGACCUGUUGAGCCAUUUUUUUGGCUCAACACUCAACCUUUUUCAACUUAAAACCUUUUAACACAAGUUUGAAAAUAAUUUAAUACAAGGUUUUAGUUGAAAACAUGAAAUCAUCCAAUUAUUAAGAUAUUUAAAACAAUAUUACUCUUGGAUGAUUUUGGUGCAUAAAUAAAUAAUGAAAUGUAUGAAAGUCCUAGUGCACCAACAACCUUAUAAAGAAAUCUUAAGAAGCUUUGGUCUUGAAAAACUCUUCUCUUUGAGGUGGUCUUCUUCUUCAUGAUUUUUUCUUGACUUGAUUUGUCUUUGGAUUGCCACUUUGGAAGUCGUCUUGCCUAAUCACACUUGAAAUAUGAUCAUUAGUUCUAAACCUUAUUUUGUUAUCAUCAAAAUCAAGAUUAACCAAACCUUGGUUUCACAAUAUGGAAGGAUGGUCAGCAUUGGCUUCCAAUUUUUCCCCAUGCUACUUGCCUCCUACACUUCCAAGAAUUGCACUGAAUGCCAACUGUAGAAAGUGCAGCUCUUUUCUGGAUUUGUUUUUCCUAUUUUCUGAGUUGGUUUGGCAUGAAGAACACAAAGCUGAGUUUGAAUAGUUCCCCUUGAUAUUCUUUUUUCCAGAAUCCCCACAUUCUUUACUACCUAUGAACUGCUCAAGCCUGAAUUCUGCCUAUUGUACUUGGUAGGGUGAAAUUUUAUGUACCCAUUGAGGCAAAGCACUCCAAUAUUUUUGGUUCCAAGUUUUGUAUCAUUUACUCAUACUUUCAUCUUAAAAAUGCUUCUAACAUAGUGUUGUUGAGUAAUGUUUGCUGAAUUGCAUAUUCUUUUCAAUAACUAUAGAGAAUUUAAACCGCAAAAUCCACAAGCCAACCUAUGUUCACUUGCAUGAGAUUGCAAUAAGGAAAGCAACAAGAAAAGGACAAGGUAAUACUAAAUUACAAAAUAGCUCUUCCCUAACUUGUAUUAUUCUAAAGAGAAUUUACAAGAAUACUCAGCCUUCUCUCAAGCAAAACUCUCAACACUCUCUUGGUAAAUUCAUGCUUUGAAUGGCUGAUGGCCAAAUUAUUUAUAGGCUUCAUCAACUUAAAACUUUUUAUAUAUCUUGGAACAAACUAUUUGAAUUCAAAUUGAAACCUUUUUAAAUUCAAAUUCAAAUUUUAAUUUCGGAUAUCUUCAGCCUGUUGUUGUUGUCACCUGUUGGCAACAUCCAAGGCUUACCUCCUUAGUAGUGUCACUUAUUCUCAAGCUCAACAACCCAUGCUACCAUCUUAGAACUACUUGCUUGCUUGCACAAGCACUUGCCAUUCAUACUUGUUGGAGAGAUUGGUUUAACCUAUGCUAAGUGGUUUUUAUUAAGAUAAGAGUCUUUGAAAGUAGGACAUGAUAUAAUAGAAUAAGUUUUGAUUAUUAUAUUUAUAAAUUAUGAUUUAUGGUUUCCAAUUUUAACUUAGAUUAUGUUAUUUAUUAUCUGAGCAUUCAUGCAUGCAUCACUUGCAUCUUAUAUGACUAAGGUGUAUUAAGAAUUGCAUAGAGAAUAAAAGUCAUAGGCUUUUUAUAAGAUGAUAAGUUGUUUACAAUUGUUCAUGGAAUUAGACAAUCCAUUUGAGACUAUAACACACUACUUCCUAAUCGGAGGAAAGACUUGUCUUAAUCAUCGGGAUGAAUUUCUUAUGGUGAGUACAUUAUGAUAUAUGACUAUAUAUUGAAUAAGACCUAUGAUAAGUCAUAACAUUGAUUAUCGAAUAGUUAUGACUCACCCAUAUUUCAAUUUGCACAUUUUUUUAAUUCAUUUUUUUUUAUCUUUUCUACUUACUUCACAAACUCACUCAUCUUCCUAAAUAAAAUAAUCUUUCUAUUUUUAAUUAUUUGAUUUUUAUCCUUCAUAAUUUAUUUUUUAAAAUUACCAAUCCACCCCAAGCUCGUGCACAAUUCAGGUUCUCUCAUGUUAUUAAGUAAAAUGAUUAUUUUAAAAUUUAUGUUAUAUAAAUGAUAUGAUUAAAUAGGUUAAAAAUUAAAUGUCUCAAAUUCUUAUUAUAAGUGACAACUGACAACUCAUACACUCAAAUUUCCACAGUUUAAAAAUAAUCUAAACUUAUUAAUUUAAGAUAAUUAAAAAUCUAUAAAUCAUAUAUUAAAAUAAUUAAAAAGUGAGAAAUGUCAGAAUUUAUUAUAUAUAUUUUAUAUUGUAAAUAAAAUAAUAGAUGAUAUAAUUUAAAAAUAAUAAAUAAAUAAUAAUAUGUAGGUUCGGUGUUGACAGGUUGCCAAAGCGUUCAAUCCCACCAACCUUAGCAUUUUGGAGUUAAUAUUUUUUUUAACUCAAGCCCCCAUUGAAACCUUGCCCAUGCCAACCUGAACCUUGAAUUGUGUAUAUAACAAAAAUGGUAAAUUAUGUAUUUUUUGCUAAACGAUAUAAUAUUUUACUAAAAAUUAUAAAAGAUAAAGAUAAAUAUUAAUAUUUUAAUAAAUUUAUAAAUUAUAUAUUUUUUUAAAGAUAAUAAUAUUUUCAUAAAUGAUAAACAUUAAUAAUAUUUUAUUUAUAUAAUUAUUAAAACAAAUAUAAUUGUGGAUUGUGCAUUCCUAUCCAAACGAUGAGACUUGCUUUUUAUUUGAUAAAAAAUAUGAUUUUUAUAAAAGAAUUAGAGUUUCCACUUAUUUUUAUUUUAUUUUUAAAGGAAAAAUAAAAUAAGAAAUAAAAUAAUAAUAUAAUAAUAAUAAUAAUAAUAUACAAAUCAAUAAAAACUAAAAAUUAAAGAGUGUCAAUGGUCAAAAAAUUCAGAUGUAAUUAAGAUUUAAAAUUUAAUAACAAAAUUGAGUUUAAAAUUAAUAUAAAAAUAAAAUUUGGACAAAUUUUAAGGUAUAUAAUAUAUUUUUUUUAAAAAUGUAUAAAUAACCAAACUUUCUUUAUUACAUAUAUAUAAAUUAGCUUCUCAAGUAUUAUCAUGAUACCCACGAUCCAUUUGGUCUAAAAUCUUUUAAUAAUUUAUAUAAUUUUUUACUUGCAAAUUAUUUUUAAAAACUUGUUAGAAUUGUCAAUAAAUAAAUAAAAAAUUAAGUGUCUCAUGAUUUUUAGUUUAUUUUCCUACUUAAAAAAAAUAAAAAAUUAAAAAUAAAAAAAGGAGGAAAAUCAUGUGACCAUGCAUUUCCUAAAAAAAUAGAAUUUUUGUGAAUUUUAAUUUUCGGGUGAAUGCGGAGAAAAUAAUUUCACUCUCAUCCCCUCCAACAAUAACAUUACUAUAAUUUCAAGAUUACCCACAUCUUCUACCAAUCAUCACUUAAUGCAUAGGAUUUUCCAUGACUCUAUUAAUCAUAAUUCCUCUUUUUAAAUCCUGAAGUGUGAAAUCCUAAUCCACUUAUUUUAUUAUUAACAACUAUCCUAAUGUCCUUAAAAAACCAUUAUCUAAUUUUAUUUUCAAGAAGUUUUUUCUUUCUUCAAGCCUAGCCUAAUAUACUAUUUUCAAUUUAAGCCUUAAAAAGAGUGAUACAUGUAAGUAAUGAAAUAAUAAAUUAAAUAACUUUGCUUUGUAUUACUUUGAUCCAAAUAAAACCAAGUUUAUGAUAACUUCCUUUUACGUAUUGAAAUUAUUGAUAACAUCACAUUGCAUUACACCAAAAUUCAAAAUUUGAUCAUGAACGAGUGCUUCUUCACACCCUUACACAAGAUUUACCAAAAUGGAUAAAAUGAUAAGAGAUAUAAAAAACCUGUACUUAAGAGUUAGAAAAAUGAUAGAUACCACAAGUACACCACUCCAUUCCCACUCCAAAUUUGGUGGAAUUUGAAAGCCUCGCCUUCUAUACGCAUCUCGUAUUCAAACUUAGACUCUAGAUUCAUUGAAAAUUUACUCUUCUUGUGUUAAUUUCUCAAUAAAGCACCAUUAUUUUGAAUCAUGAAAUGACCUCCAAAAACAUACAUAUCUUUGUUAUUUCUCAAACCAUUAUUUUGAAUCAUGAAAUGAACUCCAAAAACAUACAUAUCUUUGUUAUACCCUUCAAUUCUAUUUUAUCAUUGACUAAUAUUGUUAAGUCUAACAUUCUCACGAAACUAAAAUUAAAGAUAGAUAUAAAGAUAAAGAUAAAUAAUAAAAAAUAAGAGAGUUUUAAAACAAGACUCUUAUCAUUCAAAACUAAAAUUAAAGAUAGAUAUAAAGAUAAAAAUAAAUAAUAAUAAUAAAAAAAAGAGAGUUUUAAAACAAUGAGACUCGUAUCAUUCAAAGGCAUUUUAUAAUGCAUUAGAAGCGUUCAAAUGAUUGAUGUUGUACGGUCAUUAAUAGUAACUCUCCAGAAUCUUGCUGAUUUUUUACAAUUCUAGAAUAUUUUAUGUCCAGGCUAUGUUCAAGAAUUCUAUAGAAUACUAAACUCCUAAGCAUUUAUAGAGUUACGUAGACAUCUUUAAGUCUAUCUAAAAACUUCAUAUAUAUAUAUAUAUUUGGACACUUGAUCAAACUAUUACAAUCAAUCAUACACUCUCUCUUGUAACCAUAGAGUUAGUCGAUGAAAGAUCUACUCGAUCUAUGAUGAACAUCCUAACACAUUUUAGUUUUAGGAUUGUUUGUUGUUUUUAACUCAAGUUUCAAUACAAGUUGCUUUACGAUUUAAUUUAAUUUAAUUUUUUUUAAAUUACCUUUUCUAUAAAUUUGUCUUGGAAGAAAGUGAUAAGUUUAAAAACAAAUCAUUUUAAAAAUGACUUGCAUCUUAAUGCAAGUUGUUUUAAGAACUUUAUAUUAUUAAGUAUUAUUUAGACUUGAGUUAAAUCAAGAUCCAUUUCGAUUUAAGACAAAUCAAACACCACCUAAAACUACAAAUUCAUUUUAGAAAUAUCAAUAGGAAAUAAAGGUUAUCAAUGUACAAGUGAAAAGAGAAUCCAAAUUCUACCUUGAUUAGAUUUUAAUUAAAUAAUAAUAAAAUUUUAAUUCCUAUUCUCACUUCUAAUAAAUUAUCCAAACAUUAUGAAUAGGAUAACAAAUUAUUUUCAAUAGGAUAUGACUGACAUGAUAACCUGAAGUAUUAUAUUCAAUAAAAAAAUUAAAAUUAUAUGUAUUAUUUUUAAUAAAAUACGUUAUGCCAUAUAAAUAUUUUAUUUAUAAUAGAAAUAAAAAAUAAAAUACAAAACAUAUUACCUCCUAAUUUUUUAUAUUUUUAAGAAAAAUAAAAAGCAUAUCCCAUCCUAUAACUUAAUAGUUAAAAAAUAUAAAACUCUCAUGGUUAAUGUUACCCAAAAAUCUUUCUACACUUUAUAUUUAAUAUAUAACCUUUUAUUUCUUAUUAGCAAUAUUCAUAAUUAAUAUAUCUAAAAUCUUGUAAAUAAAAAAUAUUACAUGUUUCUAUGUAAUUUUUUAAAUUCUUCUCUUUCUCAGACCACAAAUUUAAUAUUUAAUUAAAAAAAUUCUUGCAAUUGAUGAAUAAUAAUAAUAAUAAUAAUAAUUUAUGUUCACUGACAAAAUAUGAAAUAAAAUAAAUGAUAAGAUAAUAUAUUCUAUCACAAUGCCGAUCAAACAUUCAUAGGAUCCAUGCUAUCCAACAUCCAGUCAAUCACCCAACAUGGUGAAUCAAAUUAUGGUUUAUGUGGACCAUAAAUUCAAACCCAAACUCUACAGAAAGGUGGCGACAAGACAAAAUUACACUGCCAUUACAUAUAAGUCAAAUUAUUUUCUUCCAAUUCUAUUAAGGAAGAGGAAAUUUUCCGAUGAUUAAAAUGAAUGUUGUACAUAUAAACAAACAAACAUGGUAAAACUACAACAGCAGAUCUUAGAGAGAGUACACUAAAAACACAACACAAAUAUAUUUUACACUACACACGAAUAAAUUAUAAUGAACCCCUACGUAGUUGGAAAAAAAAAAAUUAUAAUUACAAAAGUAACAGUAUCACGUUUGGAAGAAUAAACUGACAAAAAUUUACCACAACAUAGGUGGCACAACUAGGUAGCAACUUCCAUGGAAGUGGCUUCUGCAUCCACUGGAAAUGAACUUCAUAGAGGAAAAAACAAGUUUCUAUACACAUGCAAGCACCACCUCUGGAAUAAAGUAAUCCUAUACAUUUCCGCUAAAUAACAUUUCAGAAAGCUAACGGGAUAAAAUCUCUGAUACCCGCUCUCGUGCAUCUGCAGGGAUCUCCCUUCCUGGGACCUGGACCUUCAGAAGAUUUGUGUACCUGUCAAUUGGAUAAUAGUGAAUGUUACUGAGCUAAACAUCAUUUAUCCAUCCUAAAAUAAAUAAAUGUUCAGUUGUAUUCACUAACUCUGUGGCUGUAAAUAGAUUCUCAUGCUCCGUGAUGAAUGCAAGAAGGGCCUGCAAGCAAGAAUUAAAAGGUGAUAUCUGAUGGUGACACGAAGGUAAUGAGAUAAAAGAGUAUGAGUUCAAAUAACUUGCCUCGAAUGGCAUGUUUAGAAGUUCAUAGUAAGUGCGAAUGUGAUCUAAUCUCUGUUGUACAGUUUCACUGUCAAUCGAGGGGAUAGCUGCCAGGGCCUGUAAUUUCAAUAAAAUUUGUAAGUUGUGUUUUUGGAGGAAACAUGGCUAAAACAUGCUGAAAUGCACACAUGCUCCUUUCUUCAGCUCAACUCAACAAACCAUGCCAUCCAUUGGGUUUUGGUUGCAAGGAUCCUACUUCUCCAUUCCAUCUAACAAACAUAUUGAUAGGUUGAAAAUUUUUAAGAUGCAUGCACUUAUUUAGAGACAAUAGAAUAGCUCGAGAAAAGGUUUAACUAAUAAGAAAAGAACUAACUUUUAGGUUUAAGCUACAAAACUAAGCAGUUCAGACAGAUGUUAUUAUCUUUUUAGAGAAAAAAUGUUCAAGAAAAGAAAGAAAAAAGAAAAAAACAUACCAUCAGUUUUAGAAGAAAUGUAGCAUAUCAAAAAGGGGGUAGACUCUAGCUAAUUGGUAUUAUUUGUAUAAAGAGAGGAAUUGAGAAUCGCAUCCUCAACCAUUGUGGGUGUCUAUAUAGUGUAUGGUCCUUAAUGUUCUUAUUCUAAGUAUGCUGGAUGUUGCCCCAUUCUGUGAAGGGCACAUCACCUAGUUGGCACUGGAAGUUUGUUGUUAAAGUUAGAGGGAGUGUGCAAAGGGUCACCCCACAACAUUCCCUAUCGUGCAUCUAGAAAGAGCACAAUCAUUGAGUUUCUGAAGGAUUGGGGCCUCUGAUUUGGCAUUAAAAGAGUGUUUUCCCAGAACUUUUUUUGCAUGGUGAAGCAGCCAACUAGGAGAACUAAAUUUGUUUUUCUUCAAUUUCAGAGUUUGGAUGGCAAUUAAAUCCUGCUUUAUGCCUUGUGCAGUUCCUUUUCUGUUUUCUUUUAGUUCCAGUGCUGCUUGUAUAUUUCAAGGUAGUUUAUGGUUUUCUACAUAAAAUUUGAACUCUUUGAAGUACCGUAAAUGCCAAUUAAUGAAAUAAACAAAAUGCAGCUGCAUUUUCAAAGCAGGUGCAGAUGUGCCCACACAUUGUAUGUUAUUUCAAUCAUUUUUAAGUGAAAAAAAGAAAAAAAGAAAAGAAAAGAAAAAAAAAGAAUAAAAUGUACCUGUUCCAAUGCAAUUGAAUUCCGACAUAUCUGCUGAACCCCAAAAAGGUUGAUGGAUUUCAUGUCAGCCAAAGCCUAUAAAACAUUUGUAUUCUCUGAUUAAUGGUGCAUACAAGGAACAUAAUAGGUGCCACUACAAUUGAUUUCAAUUAGAACUACAAUCUGAAAAAUAAGCAAUGGAAGGCACGAAUAAAUUUCAAAUUGACCCAAAUUGUUGGGAACAUGCAAACCUUCAUUGAUGCAUUCGCUGCAAUACUACAUAUCCCGCCAAAUAUAUAAUUCCGUUUCACUCCAGCAACAAAAGGAGCCAUUUCCUCAUCCCUCCGUGUUAUCUAUGGGUUAAAGUAGAAACAAUAUGUAAGAAUUGCUUCCAAAGAUUUCCAUGAGUAUUUAGUACUUCAAAAAAUGGAGUAUAUGGAACAAAGAAAAAAUGCAUUUCCUGUCCAGGUCAACAUUUUGACCCAUAACACAUUUAGUGCCUCGUAUAUAAUAGAGGAAAUGGCAAAGAUGUUCAAACUCCAUCACGACACUUCACUAAGAAAACAGCACACUACACUUCAUUUUUCUAUGCAUCUAUAAAUAUGUGCUCAACGUUUUACAUGAUGUGGACGCAUUUAAUAUUUUUUUUUUCCUUUUUCUUUUUUCUGAUAAGUACAAGGUAUUAUAUAAAUUGUCUAAAAAUGAUUAUUCAAAAAGAACUACAAGGGCACACCAAGUAUAGUGUGGGUAUACAAGGGGCACCAAGAAAAAGUAGAAAAAGAAAAGCGAACCAUGCCUAAUUUGACCCUAAACAGUCAACAAAAUCCAACAUUAGAUGUCCCUCCUAUACAGUGCCUAACACAAUAUAAUAUUAAAAAAAAAAAAAUUGUACAUAAAAUAGGAUUUGAGCAUUUAUUCUGAAAUUCCCACACUUCCAAAAGCCCUCUGACUUUAUGCCACCAAAUUGCCCAAUAAAAAACACGGCAUAAAUGAGCAACAAACUACACUUUCUUCCGCCUCUUCCUGACAAAGAGCCUGUUCCAGCUUAACAACAUUGGUCUUAUAGAAGAAUGGGUCACCCAAUCAAUCCUAAAUAAAGAAAAAUACAGCCGCUACAAGAUUCCAACUAAUAAGCAGUGUAAAAAAAUGUUAUCAAUGGAUUCUUCUUCCCUGUUACACAUAACACUUGUUCCCUAAAGACACUCCUCUCCCUAUUCAAUUGGUCCAAAGUCAAUAUUCUUCCCCAUGUUGCUUCUCAUGGAAAAAAAUACCACCCUAAUCAGGAUCCAUGAGUUCCAAACAACUUUGGAUGGGAAAAGCUAUGAACCUCCUAAUGACAAAAAAGAGUAGAAUGCUUUAACUAAGAUCUUCCUAUUCUUUGAAUCUGACCAAGCCAUCCUAUCUGUAGAGUUCCGAAUCACCACUUGCUUUUGCAGUUUCUGCAAAAAGGUCUUCGCCAUCUUUGACUCCCAAUCAUAAACAUGAGCUCCAAUUCUUCCCCUCUUGCUCCCACAUAUAUAUGACUCACAUCUUUUGAGCUUGCUAUGGCAAACAUGGUUCAAAGUCACAGUAUCGGUUGUUGACUUGGCAAGUCCCAAGGAGUAUCAAUUUUGGUAUCUUGGAUCGAUAUCGGGCGAUGUGUGCAAUAUGCUAGUUGAGAAGGUUAAAAAACUCUAAAAAAACUAAUGAAAAUUAAAAAAAAAAAAAAAAUAGUUGUAAUUAGAUGGACUCAACAUUUUUUUUGAUAGACAACAAAAGCAUGUAUUAUGAAGUGCCAAAAAGUGGGCGUGCACCCUAUGUAUAGGGCCAAUAUACACAAAACAUCACAAUACAAGCACCAAGCAUAUACAAGGCUAGCCUACGAAAAACAAGCCAAGCUAUACACAAGGAAGAGCAUAUGAGAUAUCCAAAAUAUAAGCGUUCUCCCUUUUUAAUGAAACAUGGGACCACUCUAAUAGUGAUGUAAUGAAGAACUCCUUUAAUCUUUGAUUUGAGAGUUCUUCAUCAUAAAAGGUCCUCUAGUUACGCUCUUUCCAAAUACACCAAAAUAAGCAAAUCGGAGUCAUGCACCAAACAAUUCUUCUCUUCUUAUAUGACCCCUUAAUUUUCCAUUCAAGCUAAAGACUACUAACAGAAAAGUCCCUGGCACUCUUGUCUUAUCAUAAUGAAUCAAGAUGUGAUCAAUCGAUCCUUCCUUGUCUAUACAAAGGCUCCAUCUACCGACCAUAGGUCAUCCCUUUUUCAUUAACAUAUCUAUGAUUAAGAUCUUCCCCCAAAUAGCCUCCCAUGCCAAAAAAACAAAAAAACCGCAUUCUAAGGGAAGCUCGAGAUCCCCAAAUCUCUUUGACUGGGAGCACUGAAUUACUGUCAGUGCUGAAGGAUAUGUACUACAAUUUAUCCUCCCCCCACAUUGUCUUUCCAAAGUAAGUGUUCUCUCCUUCUUGCACUUUCAAAGGUAAAUAACAUCCAAAAAUUGGGCCACCUGCCAAUCUUGGAAGGAUCUUCUAAAUUGAACCUCCCAAAGGCCACCUCCACCUCCUCCAUACCAUAAAUCUGCAACUCUUGCAUUUUUUGAGGAGGCUAUUUUAAAAAGCUUAGGCAAUGUGUCUUUUAACUUAAACUUCCUCGUAAUCUAUCCCACCAAAAUCUUGUACAUCUACCAUUUUUUAUUCAGAUAGCUAAUCUAAGGCUAAAAUCUUCCCAACCUUUUCUAAUGUCUUUCUUCUUUCCUCCAUAUUUCCCCACAAAAAGUCUCUUGAAUUUUCUGGGAAUUGGAAAGAGGGACAUAAAAUAGGUUGGGAAGUUUGAUAAAGAGCUCUUAAUAAGGACUAGUCUUCCUCCUUUGGACAUGUACUACUUUUUCCAAGCAUUCAAUUUCCUGUUAAACCUCUCCUCGAUUGAAUCCCACACACCACAAGACUUAUGAGGAGCCCCAAGAGGUAAACCUAGAUAGAAGAAGUAGGAAGUCUCCUACUUGCAACAAAAAACAAAAGCCACUCUAUCCGCAUCCUCCACCUCCCACACUGGAAUAAUUUAACUUUUUUGCAUGUUUAUUUUCAAACCUGACAUCACCUCAAAGCAAGUGACUAUCCUAUUCCAAUAUUUCAACCAAACUACAUUAUCCUCAUAAAAUAAAAAAGUAUCGUCUGCAAACAAUAGGUGUGAGACUUGAAUCCCUUCUUUCCCAUUAUCCUCAAUCUUGAAGUCAUUAAUGAAACCUCCAUAUUGAGCCUUCUCAAUUAGGCAACCAAGGGUUUCCAUGACUAGUACAAAAGGAUAGGGUAAAAAAGGGUUCCCCUACCUCAAGCCUAUAGAGGUCAAGAAGAAAUUUGUGGGGGUGCCAUUGAUCAGUACUGUCAAUCUCACAGAAGAUAUGUAAAAGUGGAUCCACUCUAUCCAUUUAAGACCAAAUCCCAUCUUUUCUAAGAUCGAGAGGAGAACUUCUAAUUUAUAUAAUCAUAAGCUUUUUUUAUAUCCAAUUUGCAAACAAAGCCUAAAUAAGUAGAAGAAAGUCUCUUCAUUUGACAACCCAACUCAAACAUGGCUUUUUCUAUAUCCAAUUUGCAAAUGAAGCCUAAAUAAGUAGGAUGAAGUCUCCCCAUCCAACAACCCAUCUCAAAUACCAACACUUCCAAAUUAUCUAGCCUCCCAACCUUAAGCCCACUCUUCUCUAGAUUGAUUUUUUUCAGCCCCGAAAUCACCUCAAGCUACUUGAGAAUCCUAUUCAAAUGAAACAACUACUCUUAGGUUGCCUUACAAAAAAUGAUGUUAUCACUAGUGUAUAAUAGAUGGGUCACCUUAACUCCCUCCCCCCACCAACCCUCCUCCUCCUUUGAACCCAGAAAUGAAACCCUUUUCCAUUUCCUUUAUGACCAAAGGACCAAAUGCCUCCAUAGCCAAACAAAUAAAUAAAAGGAAAGUGGAUCUCUCUACCUUACCCUUAAGGGUUGUGGAGGUCCCAUUAACUAAGACCAAAAAGCUAAUUGAAGACACGCACUUCUUCAUCCAUCCCAUCCACCUCUAACCAAAUCCCAAUUUUCUCCAUGAGUAACAAUAAGAAACCCUAGUUAACAUGAUCAUUAGCUUUCUCUAUGUCAAGCUUACAAAUGACUCUAGGAAUGUUACUCUCAUACCUUGAAUCUAUGGCAUCAUUUUUUUUUUAAUAGGUAAACAUAAUCAUUUUAUAAAAAGAAACGCCAAAAAAAGCAUUCCAAAGUACAUAGGAUGUAUACAAGGAAACACCUUAAGGCAACACAAAAACAAAGAGGGACACCAACAACAACCCCCUUAACCUGAACCCAACCACUCCACAAAGUCUAUAAAGGAAAAAGGACUACGAACUAUGUACAACUUGCACCACACCUAAAGAUUACAAAUGAAGGAGAAUUCGAACCCUUGAAUUGACCACCCCUCAUUAUCAAAUGCCCUACUAUUUCUUUCUUUCCAAACAGUCCAAAAAAAGCAUAAAGGAGCAGCUCAUCAUGCCUUUUUCUUUUUCUUACCCACAAAAAAGCCAUGCCAUCUUAGCAAAGCCUCUCUAACCGAGGAAAAGAGCACCCACAACACACCAAUAAGGGAGAACAAAAGAUGUCGUAAAACUCUUGUUCUAUCACAAUGAAAGAGAACGUGAUCAACAGAUUCUUCUUUGUUGAAUAUAAUGUAUUUAUAGUAUAUUAUCUUUCCUUGUUAAUAUAGGUCACAUGUAUGGUAGUUAGGACUCCUAGCCUUGUAUAUAUAUAUCUCUCAAUUGUAAGUAGAAAAUAUAUGAAUGAGAAUUAAGAUUUUUCUCCUUUUUCUCUCUUUUAACAUGGUAUCAGAGCCAAAGGAGAAAACCUAAUUUUUUUUUUCGGUUUAGCCGUGUAAUCAAUUCCGGCGAACCGUCCAGUGACCGUGUUUCACUCCGGUCCCCUCAUUUUCUUCCCGAACCACUCCGGACAACCUCAUCGCCGUCGGAUCUCCACCACGCCGGCAACCUUUUCCGGCGAACUUUCCGGUGAACUUUUCCGGCGACGUCUUUUUCCGACACCGACCACACCAAGAGGAGCGCCUGGAGGAGAUCUCCAACUUCUUCAAAAGUAUCGGAGCCAGAAAACCCUCCACGCGCCGGCCACGCGCACUUCUCCGGCCGGCGACUGAAUCUCACGCGCCGGCGCGUGAGGGCGCGUGAGACCUUUUCCGGCGACGCGCCUCCUCCUCCAGCCUCGCCUGACGCCGACCAGCAUCCCUACCUACCUGGUUCUCCCAUCCGAGCCCUGCACGUACCUCUUUUGGGGAUUUUUGUCUCCGUCAGCCCUCCAAACAGCCUUUUCGGCGAAGUUCCGGCUACUUUUUCUCCACCCCAAUCCCUGCACGUGCCUUGGGAAGUGUUCUUCUACCCUUCUGGUGGUACCACGUCGCGAUCUGAGGCCGUCUCCCUUUUUCGAUGGUGCCACGCCGCAAUCUGCAGCCGUAUUAGGGCUCUCUUCGAUCCAAAUACGUGAAUAUGACCACCAAAAAUCAGAUCUUUACCUCUGUUAUCUCUGGAUCUCCUAUGAUUACCUCAGAGAAAUUGGUUGGCAGUGAGAAUUAUCGCUCCUGGUCUGCCUCUGUUGAACUUUGGUUUAUGGGUCAAGGAUAUGAGGAUCACUUGGUUACCCAGGAGGCAGAUAUCCCUGAGGUUGACAGCGUACAAUGGAGGAAGAUAGAUGCACAGUUAUGUAGUGUAUUAUGGCAAUCGGUUGAUCCCAGAAUUCUUCUUUAUCUUCAGGCCAACAAAACUUGUUUUAAAUUUUGGACUCAGGCCAAAGGAUUAUACACGAAUGAUAUCCAGCGUCUUUAUAAGGUGGCUUCUACUAUUGUCCAUCUCAGCCAACAGGACUUGGAUCUAUCUACUUAUAUUGGUCAGAUUGCCUCUCUUAAGGAGGAGUUCUUGACUGUGAUGCCUCUUACUCCUGAUGUUGGGGCUCAACAAACACAGCUUGACAAGUUCUUCAUGGUCCUUACUCUUAUUGGCCUCCGUCCGGAUCUUGAGUCUAUUCGUGAUCAGAUUCUUGGAAGUUCAUCAGUUCCGUCCUUGGAUGAUGUGUUUGCUCGCCUCCUCCGUAUCUCGUCCACUCAGACUUUGUCAUCUGAUAGCGCUUCAGAUUCUUCUGUGUUAGUUUCUCAAACUACAUCUCGAGGAGGACGCAGUGGUACCCGAGGUAGAGGCCAACGUCCUCAUUGCACCUAUUGCAAUAAACUUGGCCACACUCGCGAUCGUUGCUAUCAGUUACAUGGAAGACCUCCUUGCACUGCCCAUAUGGCCCAGUCCUCUGAUUCUCCGCUGCCUCAGCCUCCGAGCUCCUCCGCAUCUCAGACAUCUCAGGCUUCUAUUGCCUCUGUUGCCCAACCUGGUAAUGCCUCUGCCUGCCUUACCCACACAUCUUCUCUUGGACCCUGGAUUCUAGAUUCUGAAGCAUCUGAUCACCUAUCUGGUAAUAAGGAUCUUUUUCUCCUCUAUUACUAAUACCUCUGAUNNNNNNNNNNNNNNNNNNNNNNNNNNNNNNNNNNNNNNNNNNNNNNNNNNNNNNNNNNNNNNNNNNNNNNNNNNNNNNNNNNNNNNNNNNNNNNNNNNNNNNNNNNNNNNNNNNNNNNNNNNNNNNNNNNNNNNNNNNNNNNNNNNNNNNNNNNNNNNNNNNNNNNNNNNNNNNNNNNNNNNNNNNNNNNNNNNNNNNNNNNNNNNNNNNNNNNNNNNNNNNNNNNNNNNNNNNNNNNNNNNNNNNNNNNNNNNNNNNNNNNNNNNNNNNNNNNNNNNNNNNNNNNNNNNNNNNNNNNNNNNNNNNNNNNNNNNNNNNNNNNNNNNNNNNNNNNNNNNNNNNNNNNNNNNNNNNNNNNNNNNNNNNNNNNNNNNNNNNNNNNNNNNNNNNNNNNNNNNNNNNNNNNNNNNNNNNNNNNNNNNNNNNNNNNNNNNNNNNNNNNNNNNNNNNNNNNNNNNNNNNNNNNNNNNNNNNNNNNNNNNNNNNNNNNNNNNNNNNNNNNNNNNNNNNNNNNNNNNNNNNNNNNNNNNNNNNNNNNNNNNNNNNNNNNNNNNNNNNNNNNNNNNNNNNNNNNNNNNNNNNNNNNNNNNNNNNNNNNNNNNNNNNNNNNNNNNNNNNNNNNNNNNNNNNNNNNNNNNNNNNNNNNNNNNNNNNNNNNNNNNNNNNNNNNNNNNNNNNNNNNNNNNNNNNNNNNNNNNNNNNNNNNNNNNNNNNNNNNNNNNNNNNNNNNNNNNNNNNNNNNNNNNNNNNNNNNNNNNNNNNNNNNNNNNNNNNNNNNNNNNNNNNNNNNNNNNNNNNNNNNNNNNNNNNNNNNNNNNNNNNNNNNNNNNNNNNNNNNNNNNNNNNNNNNNNNNNNNNNNNNNNNNNNNNNNNNNNNNNNNNNNNNNNNNNNNNNNNNNNNNNNNNNNNNNNNNNNNNNNNNNNNNNNNNNNNNNNNNNNNNNNNNNNNNNNNNNNNNNNNNNNNNNNNNNNNNNNNNNNNNNNNNNNNNNNNNNNNNNNNNNNNNNNNNNNNNNNNNNNNNNNNNNNNNNNNNNNNNNNNNNNNNNNNNNNNNNNNNNNNNNNNNNNNNNNNNNNNNNNNNNNNNNNNNNNNNNNNNNNNNNNNNNNNNNNNNNNNNNNNNNNNNNNNNNNNNNNNNNNNNNNNNNNNNNNNNNNNNNNNNNNNNNNNNNNNNNNNNNNNNNNNNNNNNNNNNNNNNNNNNNNNNNNNNNNNNNNNNNNNNNNNNNNNNNNNNNNNNNNNNNNNNNNNNNNNNNNNNNNNNNNNNNNNNNNNNNNNNNNNNNNNNNNNNNNNNNNNNNNNNNNNNNNNNNNNNNNNNNNNNNNNNNNNNNNNNNNNNNNNNNNNNNNNNNNNNNNNNNNNNNNNNNNNNNNNNNNNNNNNNNNNNNNNNNNNNNNNNNNNNNNNNNNNNNNNNNNNNNNNNNNNNNNNNNNNNNNNNNNNNNNNNNNNNNNNNNNNNNNNNNNNNNNNNNNNNNNNNNNNNNNNNNNNNNNNNNNNNNNNNNNNNNNNNNNNNNNNNNNNNNNNNNNNNNNNGAAGAGUAAGAAACAAGAUGUAGUGGUCAGAUCUAGCGCUGAAGCCGAGUAUCGAGCUAUGGCUUUGGCAACAUGUGAACUCAUAUGGUUGAGACAUCUUCUUCAGGAGUUGAGAUUUGGAAAGGAUGAACAGAUGAAACUCAUCUGUGAUAACCAGGCCGCAUUACAUAUUGCAUCCAAUCCAGUCUUUCAUGAAAGGACCAAGCAUAUUGAAGCUGACUGUCAUUUCAUUAGAGAGAAGAUCGCAUCAGGAUGUGUUGCUACAAGUUUUGUUAAUUCAAAUGAUCAACUAGCAGACAUCUUCACUAAAUCUCUCAGAGGUCCUAGGAUUAAAUAUAUUUGUAACAAGCUUGGUGCAUAUGACGUAUAUGCUCCAGCUUGAGGGGGAGUGUUGAAUAUAAUGUAUUUAUAGUAUAUUAUCUUUCCUUGUUAAUAUAGGUCACAUGUAUGGUAGUUAGGACUCCUAGCCUUGUAUAUAUAUAUCUCUCAAUUGUAAGUAGAAAACAUACGAAUGAGAAUUAAGAUUUUUCUCCUUUUUCUCUCUUUUAACAUUCUUCUUUGAGGCAUAGGAAACAUCUAUUCGCCAAAGACCACCCUCUCCUUUGAAUGUGAUCCAAAGUUAGAACCUUCCUCCAAGUAGCUUCCCAAACAAAGAAAACCACCCUCGACUGCACUCACAAAUUCCAAACCACACUUGUUGGGAAGACACCUUGCCUUCUUGGCUCCAACACCUUGUACAAGGUCUUGACAAAGAAAGUCUCAUACUUGGACUCGGUCCACAGAACUUCAUCAUCCCUAUCCAAGAACACCCUCCUCCCAUGCAAUCUCAGAAGGUAACGCUCAGUGGUUUCCAACUCCCAAUCAUUGAUUCGCCUAGAGAAACGACAGGCCUAACACCCUCAGAAGAAUGGUUCCAAACCUCCUCCACCCAUGCCUCCUUGGAACAAGCUACAACAAGGAAGGAAAAGAGAUGCACAAAGGCGCAUCACCACACCACUUAUCCUUCCAAAACCUCACCCUCCUGCCAUUCCCCACCAAAAAAGACAACUCUGCAGCUUAACAAGUCUCCCUCCAUCUUGAUGGAUUUCAUAACCCUACCCCAUAUGCUUCCCUCACCUUGCAAGAGCGCCACCCUCCUUCCUACUCCCCAUAUUUUCUGCUGAUGAACCACGUCUAGAAUUUUUCUAACCUUCAUAAAUGCAUGUUGGAAGUUGGACGCUACUUUACCCACAACCCUUCUCAACCUAUUAGCCAAAAAUUUGGCUAGCACCUUAGAUAGCCCUCCCACCCAACUAGUAGACCUGAAAUCUUUCAAAUCCUUGACAUCUUCUUUAUUAGGAAUCAGUGAAAAAAAAAAUAUAGCAUUUAAACUUCUUACAAAGGAACCCCACUUGAAAAUUUCUUUGAAAAAGCUCAUUGCUUACUCUUAAUAAAGUCCCAAUAAUGCUAUCAAAAGGCUAUAGUCAAACCAUCUAGCCCAAGAGCUUUGUCCCCCCACUCAAACAUGACAAGGCAGAAAAUACUUCUUCCUUUGAGAAAAGAACCUCUAAGCCCCCUUACAACAACCUCUGACAGAAUGUCACACUAAUAAACUCUCAUUCUCCCUCCUUGCAACCACCUCUGAUCCCCUUAAAUUACUCGGAACAUUCUCUAGAAACUCCACUGAGCUCCCAUCUAAAAAAAGCCAUCUUCAACCGUCCCCCAUCAUAGUAGUGGUCAUAGCCCCUUCCACCAUUUCAACCCCAUUGCUCAAUCCACAACCCCCCACUAAAAAAAAAACCAACUGCCUAUUCGAAAAAGGAAAGCCCUCACCCCCGUAGAAAUGGAAAAAGGGUACAAACCUCUAAACCUUGUCACCCCAGCCAAAAGGGCCUCCUCGACAAACAACAACAUUGCUACUUCCCUUGAAGCAAGCACCACCUCGCUCACCAAGACAACUUCAUGCAUCAAGAAAAUCUAAAGCAAAGGGAAAUCUUCAUCCCAAGGUCCCACUAUCACCAAAGACACUCCAUCAUCUCAAGGCCUCUUACGGACUUGCCUUCUUUAAAAGAAAACAAAGAUGGGCCACCCCUUAGCCCUCCACUUCCACUAAAGCUACCAUUGGCCCAACCCACUUCAUCCAAUUGGGCUCCAUUCAUUAAGCAAUGGCAUAGCUCUUUAUUAUUGCACAGGCUCAUUCGACACAAAUCAGCCCUGUCCACCAUCAGAAAACCCUCCUACCCAACUCAAGGAACGUCCAAAUGCUCUAAAGGAUCCACCAGAGAUUGAGGAGUCUCCAUGGCCCACUAAGACUCUUUUUCUAGGCCCAAGAGGAUAUAAGCCAGCCUCCUUACCAGUGGACCAAAAGUUCCCACUUCUUUUACAGCCACUGCAACCCUUAUGUCUUUUGCAACUGCCUCAGCUUCACGGGAAACACAUGUUUUGCACCCUUUUUGACCAACCCCACAUCCUUUCCCACUCUCCCCUCUACACAUGCCAACACAUAUCUACCUUCUUCAACCUUCAGCUCUCUUGCCCUCAACACUACCCGAUUCACCCAAGUUGAGAUUUCCGACCACAAUUGCACUGCAAAGCAUGACAAACCAACCACCGCAUGCAACAACCUCGGCAGCAAUUCACUGUAAUUUCUAUCAAAGAUCCUAGCCCACUGCAAAUGCCACAAAGCCCUCACAAGUAUCCUCCAUCUGCUUCAAUAAUUUCCUAUCCCAUAAGUGCAACAGUAAGCCCAAAACUCUCACCCAAACUUCACUGGCAUGAACAACAGCCCACCUCUGACGACAGCAUUUCAACUAUCACCCAUCUAAGAAUAUAUUCAACUGAAUUUUUCACUAAUCAUUGAAAAUCUCCUCACCAUGUCAGCCAAAGUAAAAUCGACCUUUGUGGUUCCUUAACAAGGAAAAGGAAUUAGAAUUUCAUCCCAAGCAAAUUGAUAACAAAUAAGUUGAUUAGAAUUUGAGAUAACUGAAGAGAAAAGCAAUAACAACUCUUUGACAGGUUGAAAUAUAUAUAAACAUGCCUUUUGCAGGGCCAACAAUGUGAUAUUGGCCGCUACUUGCCCUAAAAAAGGAGCAGGAAAACUUACUGACCUGUGCAGUGAGUGAAAUAAUAAAAUCAUCUGGUUCUUCAGCAUCUUGGUCAUCCAAGUAUUCCCUGCUGGUCAUUUCCUGUUUAAAUUGAAGUGCUAUAUAAGUUAAGUAGUCUCACUUCCAAUUGAGGCAAAUAUUAGUAAACUAUGUAUAUUUCACAAACCUGCAUAUGGAAAAUUGUCUCCAAUUGCAUCUCUACACGUAAAACCUUAAGGCAAUCAAUUGCCAGUUUCCUGUACUCAUCAGCAAAUGAUGCCAGAUUCCUAGGAGGUGCACUGCUUGUUUGAGUAUGGUGGUGCAUUUUCUGCUUGCCAUUUUCUUCUACUGGAUUAGAUGCUCUAAUGGAUGCUUUCCCAAGCCUAUACAUUGCAUUAGAAGGUCCACAUAAGCUUUGGUUAAUAUCUUGCCACCACUAUUUUUUGAAAAGCUAAGUUCUCUAUUAUAUAGGAUGAGAUGCAGGGAUCUAAUGGGCUUCAAAUAUUAAUGCUAGAGUCCAUAAUCGAGAAAUUUAUGCAUCUAUAGAAGGUAGGUUCUAUUGUGUAUAUUAAGGGCCCAGUCCCUGUGAGCUGAAUGGCAAGGGGCCUCCUACACAAACAUGCACUGGAAACAGAAUAACAUGGCAAGUUUCACUAGAUACUUCCAGAAUAUUAUGUUGCAGCCUUCCCAGUAAGCACAAGGCAUGCUUCUUCAGAAGGUCAAUUCAUGUUCAGAAUUACUUCAAAGAAAUUAAAAACAAAGACACACACAAAUGUGUGCACACAUCUGUAUGCACAACAUUUUUUUCCUUAUUGAGACAAAUACAACAUAUGUCAACAUCAUCUACCAUCAUAUAUUUAAAAAGUUCAUGCGGGUAAAGAUCAUCAUGUACAAUUCCUUCAAACAAAGAAUCUGAUGAAAAACACAAGCCUCCGAUGAUACUUAUGGCAAGACCCAAGUGCAAAUAUCAAAGAUAAGGAAACUCUUCUUGGAUGGAAUGGAGUGUUUGUGGGGAAAGGUUGCAAGAAGGCUUGGCAAAUGGCUCACUUAUGUAUAUUUUGGUCAAUCUGGAAGGAAAGGAAUAGAUUAGCUUUUGGGAAUGAGGAGCUUUCACUUCAAAGAUUGAAAUAUUCUUUCGUAUGUAAUCUUUGGUCUUGGGUCAGGGUUUCCUUAGUUUUGACCCCUUCUUCUCUUGUAAGUUUUUUAGACUAGAUAGGCUCUAAGUAAGGGAAGGCCGUGUGUAUACUACCUGUAUACUUUGAGGGCACUAGUUUUUGGUGUUUCCUCUUCUUGAUUAAUAUACUUCCCUUUAUUUAUCAAAAAAAAAAAAAAAAAGAAGACAAAUGUUUCAUGUAAAAUAAUUAUGAUCAAGGAAGUAAGAGAAUCACUAGCAGAAAAUGCCCAAAAUGGAGACGGAUUGCAUAUGCACAUGCCCCUAAAACAUAUAACACAACUAAAAUGUAAAAAUAGGUUUAAUAGACUUCAAUACACAAACUGGUGCAGUAAGCCAAGACUUGGGCAAGGAAGAAGCCUACUGUCAUAAGUCAAUCAGUUCACAUAUACUAGUAUGUGAUCCAGAAAUCAAAAUUCACAAUGUAGUGGCUUGGCAGCAACAGAAAAAUUAAUAUAUACAAUGACAAACAUGGGAACCAUGAAAUUCUUUACUCAGUGGUGGUGGCUGCACAACCUUAACUGAGUAAUCUUGCAUCCAACCUAUAAAUUGAUAUUAUGCCAUGAAAGCAAAAAUAUUACAAACAUGAUCCCACAUGUGCACAUAUAUAAAGAGAUGUACUGGGGGGAGAAGUUAUUCAUGGUCAAGAGUCAAUCCAAAAUAAAGGAAACAUUAUUAUAGAGUUUGGACUUUCAUCAUCUAAAGCAGCACCAUUCACUGCUCAGUGCUCAUAAUUAUGAGUCAUAUUCACACCACUGAAAGCCCAGUGUGACUCAGAAAAAGCACAAACUGCUGAAAGCAGGAUACUUCAUGUCCAAUAACUCAUGCUUUUAUGUGCAUAUCAAAAGAAAAUUAAUAAUAAUAAUGACUCAUGCUUUUAUGUAGUUGCCCUUUCUAUUAAAUAACAUUGCUUCCUAAAAUAAAUAAACAAAUAACAGCAACAAACCUUUUUUUCUUGGGAAAGGACAUCAAUGCUUGACCAAUUGCAUUUAUUUAUUAAGUGUAGUUAUAUGCAUGUUGUUACACCAUUUCAUAAUUUUCUCCUUAUUACAAUGACUUGGAUCUCAAAAGAUGUAAUCAAAAGAGAUCAUGGAAGAAUGCAGCAGAUGCCAUUUGCUCAGUACAAAGUAUAAACAUAGGGUGAUAAUAUGAAUAUAUUUAUAAUAAUAUGAGUUUAAUAUUUCUUGUCCAUACUAGCAUAACUUCACUAUUUGCCCAUAUACUUUGCAAGUGAGACUUUAAAAAAGAUCACUCUAACAUAAAUUCAUGACUGCAAUCAGAAAUAAAAACUUGCCUUUCAAUUGAGUCUGCAACAUACUCCAAUGAAUCACUAAGAGAAGCCAGCAAAAUAAGUUUGUUAUCAUCACGAAUUAGAUUCUCCUGCAUGACAGAGAGGAGAACAAAGAACGCCAAUGGGUAAGCUUUACAUUUUCAUUAAAGAGCCUCAAUACAUUAAAAAACAAUUCAUCUAUAACUCAGCAUUCUCCUACUUAAAAAUGGAAAACAACAAUUAUGGAAAAAGGUCCUCCAUCAGAGAGGAAAAAAAAAACAAAAACAAAAAAACAAAACAAAAAAAGAAUAAAAACAAAAACAAAAUGAUGUCCUCCAAACAUAAUACCUGCUUUAUCGGCCGCAAACUCAACAGCAAAUCACAUAGUUCCAUUUCAACCUCAACAUCAACAUCAGAGGCAUUGCUUUCCAUAUUUGGUUGACCAAAUGGAUUUGGUAAACAUGCACUAGCUGGAUCACAUCGCAUCAAUUUCUCAAUAUCAUGCCUCCCAAUUAGCAUAUAACUCUGCUUCUCAAGAACUGCCUGAAAAAAAAAAAAAAAAAAAAAAGAAACCAAAAAAACGAAUGAAUUAUAAGGUAAUUGGAAGUAUGCAAGAAUUUAUUGUUGAUGUAUGUCAUACACCUAUUAGGAACCAUAUCUUCAAAUUGCAUUACAGUGAUCCCAAUGAUAAAUCAUCAACCUACUUUAGUUUUCUACAAGGUCUAACCAGACACUCCAAUACUAUACUGUUGCAUUAUGAAGCAUGUCCCAUUGUAGUACUUUGCUUUUCCUAUAAUUAGUUACUUCCUGAGGCUGGAUGGUUGGAAAAAGGCUUUUUUGUCUUUGGGAGGGAGGAUUACUUUAAUUCAGUCGAGUCUGUCUCACAUCCCUAGCUACUUCCUCUCCCUCUUCAAAAUCCCAGUAUCAAUAGCCUCAAAGAUUUUUUUUUUUUGAUAAAUAAGCAAGCAAUAGAUUAAGAAGCAGAAAAAAGCCACAAGGCAUACAGGGAGUAUACACAGUAGCCUAAACAAAAAAACAAACAACCUCACCAGCCCUUAAGUGGACGCUAGCCACUCCAAAAAACCUAAGAGAGACAAGGACUCCUCACCAAUGUACACCCGAGCCCAACUCCACAGAUUACAAACAAAAGAAUUUUUGAGCUUCUAAAUAGCUAAAGACCCCCCCCCCCUAAAAGCUAACCUAUUCCUUUCCUUCCAAACCGUCCAAAAAAUACACAACGAGAUGAAAUUCCAAAUCUUUUUCCUUUUUUCCCCACAAAAGGACCCUUCCAAUUGAACAACACCUCUUUAACUGUCUCUGGGAACACCCACAAAACCCCAAACAAGGCGAGUAUGAUCUCCCAGAGGACCCUGACCACUGUACAGUGUAAAAGAAUAUGAUUUACAGUUUUUUCUUCACAACCACACAAAAAACAACGAUUAGGGAGCUGUCAUCCCCGUUUUUUAAGCCUAUCCAAGGUGAGAAUCUUCCCCCAAGUGGUCUCCCAAGCAAAAAAAGCAACUUUGGUUGGAGCCUUAUCCACCCAAAUGUUCUUCUUCGAGAAAGCGAAGUCAUUGGGAGAGACUAGCAGAAUAUAAGCGUCCUUAACCCCAAAAAUACCACUUUCCCCACCUUUCCAAAAAACUAAAUCCUCUUCUGAAGAUACCCUGCAAUCCCUCAACAAAAUCAGCAACUCCCUUAUCAAUCCAACUCUCAAUCAUUAAAGUCUCUAGAAAAUUUGAGGUUUCAACCUCCUUGACCAUAACUAGAGUGCCACACCUCAUUAACCGUUGCAUUCCUUUGAGCCGCCAAAGUAAAUAACUGGGGGAAGAUUUGGGACAGCGCUGCAUUGUCACACCAAUGAUCAGUCCAGAACUUAAUUUUCGUCCCUUUGCCCACUUUAAAUUGGAAAUUAUCCCAGCACCAGCAAGCCUCCUUCAGAAUCUCCUUCCAAACCCCCACUCCAUACGUCCCAAGAACCUCAUUAGUCCACCAUCCAAAACCCUCAUGGCCAUACUUCACCAACAACACCUUCUUCCAAAGAUUAUCCUUUUCAAUGGCAAAUCUCCAAACCCAUUUUCCCAGCAAGGCCUUGUUCAGAAGGAUAAUCUUCCUUAAGCCUAGACCACCCUUCUCCUUUUGAGCGCACACCACCUCCCAAUUGAUUAAGUGGACUUUCCUUUCCAAGCUUCCCCCUCCCCAAAGAAAGCCUUUUUGUAAUUUUUCCAGCCUUUUUGCUACAAUCUUGGGCAUUCGAAAAAGGGACAAUUGGUAAAUCAGCAUGCUGGCCAGCGUGCUCUUAAUAAGGAUGAUUCUCCCGCCUUUGGAAAUAUAUUGUCUUUUCCACAAGGCUAAUCUUCUCCUCAUUCUCUCUUCCACCCCAUCCCACAUNNNNNNNNNNNNNNNNNNNNNNNNNNNNNNNNNNNNNNNNNNNNNNNNNNNNNNNNNNNNNNNNNNNNNNNNNNNNNNNNNNNNNNNNNNNNNNNNNNNNNNNNNNNNNNNNNNNNNNNNNNNNNNNNNNNNNNNNNNNNNNNUGGACGGGAAAUGUCGAAUCAUUAAAAAAAUUGAGUCUUCCUCCCCCCCAAAGCUUACAGCCUGAAAUGAACCCCCCAUCUGCAGGCCUUCUUAAAAGUGCACUUAGCACUUCCAUUCCCAACACAAAAAGGUAAGGAGAAAGAAGGUCUCCUUGACGCAGCUCCUUGGUGUUUGAAAAGAAGCUUGCAGGCAUCCCAUUGACCAGAACAGAGAACUUGGCAGUUGAGAUGCAUCGCCAAAUCCACUCCAUCCACCGAAACCCAAAGCCCAUCUUAUGCAAAACCUUCAUUAGAAAACUCCAAUUUAUGCUGUCAUAGCCUUUUUCAAUGUUCAAUUUACAAAUUAGCCCUUUCUCUUUUCAUUUUUGCCAAAAGUCAACCACCUCAUUAGCUAUAAGCGAGACAUCAAAAAUCUGUCUACCCUUCACAAACGCGUUUUGAUCCUCGGAAACCACCUUUCCUAAAACCUUAUUCAGCCUAUUGGCCAGCACCUUAGCCAACAACUUGUACAGACCCCCUAGAAUGCUAAUGGGCAGGAAAUCCCCCAAGUCCUUAGCACCCCCUUUCUUUGGAAUAAGAACCAGGAAAGUAGUGUUCAAGCUUUUGGCAAGGAUCUUUGAUCACAAAACUCCUUGAACAACUCCAAGAUUUCCUCCUUCACAAAAUCCCAACACGCUUGCCAAAAGGCCACUGUGAAACCAUCCGGGCCAGGAGCUUUGUCACCAUUCAGCUCCAACAAGGCAGAAUGGAUUUCUUCCUCAGAGAAGGGCACUUCCAAAUUUUCAGCUUCUUGGAAAUUCAGACGAUGGAGAUGCAGCCCCUCUAUGUCCACUCUCCAGCCUUGCUCUUCCAAGAGCAACUGUUGAAAAGCAUUAACAACCUCCUCCCUCACCUCCUGUUCCUCAGUCAACCACACCCAGUUAAUCUUAAUUCUAUCCAAGGAAUUAUUUCUCCGGUGGGCGUUUGUCAUCCUGUGAAAGAAGCAUGUGUUCUUAUCCCCUUCCUUUAACCACAGCUCCCUAGAUAAUUGUCUCCAAUGGGUUUCUUCUAGCAGGACCCACUUUUUAUAGGUUUCCUUAGCUUCUUUUUUCAGCUCAGUUUCCCCUUCUGAGAGGCUCCUCUCGCUUUCCACCCCAUCCCAUAAUUCAGCUUGUUGAAGAGCUGAAUUUCUAUUGACUUCCAACCUUCCAAACACGUCCCUAUUCCAGACUUUGAUUCUUUGCUUCAACUCCUUCAACUUAGUAGCCAGCCUGAAGCUAGCAUUUCCUCUCACCACAGUCCCCUGCCACCAACCCCGAAUGAGGUCCUUAAAGCCAUCCACUUUAAGCCACAUAUUUUCAAACCUAAAUUCUCAACCCACCGCCCUCCAACAGAAUGGGAAAGUGGUCUAAAGUGGGUCUAGGCAGCCUGCUCUAGACAAUCCUACUGAAUUGAUCAAGCCAGUUCUAAGUCACUAAGAAUCUAUCCAGUCUUGCCCACAAUUGAUUAUUCCUACCCCCAUUCCAAGUAACCAAACCCCCUUGCAUAGGAAGGUCAAGAAGCUCUAACUCGUCAACAAUCUGAGCAAACCUUCUCAUUGCACCAGUUAGCCUUCCCUGCCUACUCCUUUUCCUUUGGGAGAGGAUGACGUUGAAGUCACCCCCUAAACACCAAGGAUCAUUCCACAAGCCUCUAAUCGCCCCUAACUCCUCCCACAACCAACCCCUUUCCUCUCUAGAGAAAGGCCUGUACACUCUUGUGAACAUCCAAACGAACCCGUCCUCCACAUUCCUGAAUCUACAGGAAAUUGAAAAUUGACCCACCUCCAUCUCGAGCACAUUCAGUGUCAUUUUAUCCCAACAGAUCAAAAUCCCCCCCGCAACUCUAGAAGGAUCCAGGGCACCCCAAUCUAGGAAUCUUCCAAUGCCCAAGCUUCUCACCACACCCUCCGACAUUGCCUGAAUUUUUGUCUCUUGGAGGCAUAACAAGUCCACCCUCUGACUUCUAAUCAGGGCUUUAACCACCUUCCUUUUGGAGCUGUCAUUAACUCCACAAACAUUCCAACUCAGAAGCCUUAACUUCAUUGGACUUCCAUGAUUUGGCACCCUCUUCUUUGCAAACCAAAUUUUUGUUUUUUCCCUUUUUCGUAAUUAAUGGAGCAUUCCAGUCUUUUUAAUUCCCUUUCGAAUUUAGAUUUCUCCAAUAGAGUUUUGUUGUGAAUACUUUCCCUUCUUUUUCUAAUUUUAACCAAAAAAUCCAAGAUAUCCUUCUCCAAACCCUCUGUCGAAAAUCCCAAGAACUUGCUGAACCUUGCCAGAUCACUUUCCUCCCAACUGAUCUCCUCCCAACCUCUCGCUUCUUGAGGCUUAGUUGGAAUUGAGCUCCACUCCACUCUUCUUUCCUCAUUGCAUCCGUUAUUGACCUCCAUCAACUCCCAACGAGUGACGGUCUGGUCCUCUAUAAGCCCCAGGGCAUUGAUCAUGCGUAACGGUAUUUCCCCUUGGAUUGUCUCACAAACAACCCCUGAAUAGUUGUAAUACUCCCCCUUUGGAGUCCGACCGGAAAAAAAAAAAAAAAAAAAAAAAAAAAGGAAGAAGAGAGCCCAGAAUCCAAAUUUCCUUUAGGGUAAGAGACAAUCCCAUACCUCAAGGCUUCCUCAAGCAAAGCAUGGUCAGUCAACGAUCUCACCUUGGAAUGGAGUUCAGCUUCAAUUUGUUUUCGCAAGCCAUCCUUCACCCAGAAAUUAGUGGAUUCUGAGUCUAGACACCCCAAAGAGCUUGGGCCAGACAUAACCGAGGAAGAUCCCACCACCUUGGGCUCUGAACUCAAACGGGGUUUGGGACGGGCCUCUAAACUUCGGCCCAGACUCCUCAACCAAAGGUUGAGACACCGGCCCAACCUGCCCAGCCUCCAUCGAAGUAGUCAAAGUUGGGACUGACCCAACGGCCCCAAAAGUUGGAGUGAACGAUUCCUCUACUGGGCCCAGCUUAGACAGCCCACCCAGCAACUGCAAACCUCCAAGAAACCGGCCCGAUGACCCAUCAAGGCUCCGAGAAGGAUUCGAAGGACGCCCCGACCCGCUCAUCUGCCCCCGCAUCCCGUCGGCAGUCUGAACCAAAGCCUUGAGCCUAGAGCCUUCAUCCACCUCCACCACGCGCUUACCCACGAGUACAGAACCCUCACCCCCAACCUCUUCUCCUGCUCCGACUUCCNNNNNNNNNNNNNNNNNNNNNNNNNNNNNNNNNNNNNNNNNNNNNNNNNNNNNNNNNNNNNNNNNNNNNNNNNNNNNNNNNNNNNNNNNNNNNNNNNNNNAUUAAUGGCCUAACCUCCCACCACAAAGUUAAUCAGUAACAAACCUCUUCCACACAGAUCUCCACCACAUUAGGAAGCUCCUCGCCGUUUACCUUCACCAAAAUCCUAGCCCACUGCAAUUCUUCCAACUUCUUCGUUUGGGUGUCGACUGCCAAAAAACCCUCACAUUCCUCCCCUACUCUCCUUAGAAUGGCUCUAUCCCAUAAUGAAACGGGUAAUCCCACAAUUCUCACCCAGACCUUGCGUCUUUUCUCUCCUUCCACCAAACACCCCGUCUCGAGACUUCCAUCUCUCCACGCACAGGAGAAGCCCCCUACCGAGAUUCUUCCAUGGCUAAGAGCUUUCUUAGCUUCUACCACCAACUCAAACUCCAACAAAACCUUACCCCUUUCCAAUUUUGCCCUCCCUAGUUUGCCCUUCAACCCCCAAGUUUUUGACAUUUAGCUCUCCCAGCUUUUCAAAUCCUCACCUUUCUCUGAGCUAGGGUUCCAAAACCUAACGAGGCAAUGGCCCAGCUUGUUCAAAUUUCUGCUCAGCUCCUCUUUUCUAACCUCCACCCUCACCACUGUUCUACCCUUAUUCCUCGGCAUCUGGACCACUUCCGCAAAAGAUUUUACCAACUAGGGUUUCAGCAACGUUGCCUCGACCUGCAAGCUUUCCUUCCUUUCGUAGACUACCCCGAAGCUUCGCAACGUCUCCGCCAUUGAAGACCAGCCAUCAUUUACCCCUCUGCCUUUGGGGAUAAAGAUGCUAAAGCUUUUUUUCUUCGGAUCUACGACGCCCAACCGGAGAAAACACCCCCCCCCCCCCCCUUGUUCUCAUCACGCACCAGCGAAUAGGACCUCCCGUUUUCCUUCCAACUUCUUUCCCAUUUUCCGGCACUCAUGUCUUCUAUGCAAAACCGCAGGCCGUCCAAAAAGAACCCUAGGCUCUCCGGUCCUAGAUUGACCCAUGAGGAGAUCCCUCUUUUCCUUUCCACAAUAAUGGCUUGCAAUCUACCUUUCUUCUCCUCUACUUCAACUUCGAACGACUUCGACUCUACUCUAAAGCUACUCCCUUUCACUAGUUUCCAUGACCCCAAUCGGAAAUCUUUCUCUUCAUACUCACUCGCACGCAGCCACUCUCCCUCUCCUCCCACGCUCUCACUCUCUCUCUCUCCUACUCUCUUUCUUUCUCUCUCCUCCAUCUUGCGUCCUACUUCUCAGUCCUAUUAGCUUUGAAAGGGUCAAUAGCCUCAAAGAUUGAGAAGCUGCAAAGGGAUUUUCUUUGGUCUGGGGCAGGGGAAGGGAAGAAAGAUCAUCUUAUCAGAUGAGAUGUUGUUAGUAGACCAAAAGAGUUGGGAAGUUUGGGUUUUGGGAAGACUUCUUUGAGAAAUAUUGCUCUUUUAGGGAAAUGGCUUUGGAGGUUCUUUAGAGAAAGAAGUGGUCUUUGGCAUAAGGUUAUUGCGAGUAUUUAUGGGAUACAUCCUAAUGGAUGGGAUGCCAACAUGGUGGUUAGAUGGUCACACAUAUGUCCUUGGAAGGCUAUUGCUCAAGUUUUACAGGAUUUUUCCCCUUUUGUCCGCCUAGUGGUGGGGAAUGGGGAGAGAAUUCGUUUUUGGGAAGAUCUUUGGUGGGGUAACCAAACUUUGUGCUCUCAAUUUGCUGUUCUUUAUAGAGUUAUUUCUGUGAAAAACCUCACUGUCUCAAAUGUCCUUGGCAAUUCCUUUCCACUGUCUUGGAAUUUUAAUUUUCAUCGCAAUCUUACUGAUUCAGAAAUUGAUCUCCUUCAGAGAUUAAUGUCCUCCCUUAGUUCAAUGUUUUUCUCUCUUUCUUUGGCAGAUUCAAGAGCGUGGUCUUUGUUAUCAUCAGGCUUGUUUUCAGUGAAAUCUUUUUUCUUGGCCUUGUCAAAAGUCUCAAAUCCUAUCUUGUUCUUCCGGCCAAAUUCUUGUGGAGCUCAAAAGCCCCCUCAAAGGUUAAGGCCCUCGCUUUGUUAGUAGUACAUGGGAAGGUAAACACCAAUGACAAGUUGCAAUUGAGAAGACCCUAAAAAUCCCUCUGUCCUCAAUGGUGCAUUCUUUGCAAAGGAAAUGGAGAAUCGAUCGACCACCUUUUCUUCAUUGUCCUGUUAGCAUUAGACUCUGGCACAAGUUGUUCAAUCUAGCAAGGUUGGCUUGGGUCCCUCCAAGGAGUAUUGAGGACAUGUUGGUUAUUGCUUUUAAAGGCUUGGGAAAUUCAUUAAGAGGCAAGACACUUUGGCAAAUCGCUUGCCUUACUUUGUUAUGGAUGGUGUGGCAAGAGAGAAACAAUAGGAUUUUUGAGGAUAAAGGGAGAACGGAAGAGAUGUUAUGGGACUUAAUUCUGUUAUUUUCCUCUCUUUGGGCCUCUUGUACUGCAAUUUUUAGAGGAGUUCCUCUAAGUGUUUUACAACUUCACUGGGCUGCGGUUUUCGCUUCAAAAGUUUGAGAGUGUUGGGGUUUCUCUUUGUUUUUAGUUUUCUAAAGUUGGGUGGUUUCUACUUUGUUUAGUUUUUGUUUUUGUGGGAAGGACCUCUCAUCCUUCUCUUGUUUUCUUCUCUUUCUCUUGUAUCUCUUCUUUCUCUUGUUUCUUUUCUUCUAUUAAUAUAAUUUUCUUCGUUUCUAAUCAAAAAAUAAUUAGUUACUUCCUCAAAACUGUCUACACCUUGUUUAUUGUUUCCAUUUAGACACACAUUUAUAGGUUAUUUAGUUGCUAAUCUAUCCUCCCAAACAAACCCCCUCUCCCCUCCUUUCUCCCCUAUAGUGGAGGGGGUGUACAACCUAAUGGGGCAUUUCACUUGAAAAGGUCAGGACAUAGUGAUUUUUUUUCCAUUUGUUCAUUGAGUUAGUGAAAAUUUGAAAAAAUAUUAUCAAGAUCCUAUCCACUCUUUGGGCUAACCUGAAUCACAUAUAAUCUCAUUCCAUUAGGGCUCUAUAGAAAUUAAUUUUUUUAUGCAUUGAGAAUAUAUAAGUUCUAAACUUCCAAUUGAGAGGAAUAAACCGAGAGACAUGCUAAUAGCAAGUAUUUCAAGCUUCCUCUCCAUAUAACCUUAAUUUUUAUUUUUAUUUUGUAUUCCAACUAUGAUAAUACUUAUUCUCUUUGUUUGGAUCUAGUUUCUAGAUCUCUCUUUCUUUUGGUCAGAUUACAUGUCAUCUAUAACUAGAAGAUCUGUUCAAAAUUAAAGUUUGACCCUUGAUCUGAAUUUGACUAUUUUGUCAAACUUUGGAAAUUUCAAUGGCCCAUUGAGCACAAGAUGAAGGAACCAUUUUAGGAAACUUGAACAGCCAGCCAAACAUCAAUCUAGAGCAGCUUGAGCCAUGAUUAUGUCCGUUCUAUCACAGCCUUUUUGAAUUUUCUCUGGAUUUGGAUAUUCUUCUUUUCUUUCUUUUAUUCUUUAGCUCACAUUCCACAAUCAAGCAUGAAAAUUUCCAUACUAGACAAGCCGAUUUCAUGUAUCCUAACUUAUUAUAGAUAUGGCCAACAAUAGAGGCAUUAACCAGCUAAAAGAAUCUUAACUUCUGCGCAAAUCGAGCUUUCAAUAAUAAACAACCUUAUGAGAACAAAAACAUACCAAGACCAAGAAUCAUGGCAUACAACUGUCAAACUUAUGCUUUAAAUAAAGAAACUCUAGGAGAGGGUUCCAAAAAUUCUUAACCUAUGGAUGACUCAUUAUAUAGAGAAGAAAAUACCUCCACU